rnacentral:lncRNA from 1 species
AUUAUAGCUAACUUAUUCACAAAAUACUGUCUUUGACCAGUGAGCUUCAAAAUUUAACUUAUAGUGCAUGUAUAAUAAGAAAAAAUUCAUAAAUGAUAUUAUAUUUUUUGUUCCUAUGAAGUCCAUUUGUAGAUUCUUCCCAUAUUUUUCUACUUUAAACUUGAGUUCAUCAUCAUUUAUAUCCAAUACUUCAAUCGUUGUAUUUAAAGAAAUACUAAAAUAAUCUUUCAUAGUAUCUCUAGAAGACUAGUAAGAAAUUCUCCAUGUUCUUGUUUGAUCUUCAUCAUCAUAUAAAUUUCCUUCAUCUUCUCCAUCAAGUUCACCUAAAACAUCCUCGUUAUCAAAAGAAUAAAAGAUUCUUGCUCAUAUUGACAUUCAAUUACGUUGAUCGAUUUUUGUUUUUUGGGUUGUGGUUGUUUGUCUUGAUCUAACAAGGUCUCAUGGCCUCCAUUAAGUUCAUCUUCACCAAAACCCUUCACAUAUCUACAAGGUUGUUUAGAUGGAAUUUUAAGAAUAGGUUUAAGGUAAGGUCAACCCCGAGGUAAGCCUCCAAGCACGUUUCCUCUUCUUUCGAUUCCUAUAUGUGCCUCUCAUAUAAAUACUCAGUCAUAUUGGCCAAGAGGAUUUGCACGAAUUAGUUCAAGGACAGGUUGGUCGCGGGCUUCAUCCACGGCGCGUGCCUCUCUUCUUCCCCGAUUCAUGUUUGCACACAACCCUAGUGCCUUAAGCAUGGUUGUAAGGUCAUCAAAUCUUGCAUUGAUGUCACCAAACUCAGUUUGCAUUCUCCCCUUUAACGUUGCUAUCCCUACUAUCCCUACUGAAUGGCAAUCUAACUGAUCCCAAACAGCCUGCAUCCCCUGAUAACCAUCACGAAGAUGGUUGCCACCAAAUGGUCCAUAAAUUCUCUUCACGUCUUGCCAUUGAUCCAAAUGUUUACCCGCUCUGAUACCACCUGACGCGGCGUAUAGAGAAGAUAAAACUAGAGUUCUCAUAAGGUUACAUACCCAACUAUAGAGAAAUCUAGAGAAAACUCUCUGGUAUUUUAUUAAAUCUAAGUAAUAGUUUUUUUUUUCCAUAAAAUAAACUAGACAUCUCUAUUUAUAUUAGUUCUAACAUAUUUUAUAGCAAAGAAUUCUCAAUUUAAACUUACCUAUUUAAUAGAAUCAAUCUAGCAUUAAGAUUCCUAAAUAGUAAAAUACUAAUUAAAUUAAAAUUUCAAAGCUACAUAGAAAACAAAUAAUUAAAAUCCAAAAUUAACUAGGAAAAUAAUUAAAAUAGAAAAACAAUAACUUCAGGCUUCAUAUCAGAUGCUUCUGGAUUAUUUUACGAAUUUCUUUUUAGACUUGGCCUUGUCAAUCUGGUCCAUAAACUCCUAAAAUAAUUGUUUUAUGUCAAAUUUCAAUUUACUUCCUUUAUUGUCUUCUAUUGGGAUUCUUUUGUGCUAUUCAUUCUUUUUUCCCUCUAAAUCACUUCAAGACAAUUCAACACUCAGCUUUUUACUUGAGUGUAUUUAAAUGAAAAGGGAGCUGACACUUCUGAUUCAAAAGGGGUUCCAAAGUUCACCUAGGAAAUGAAGGUAGAAAGAGAGGAUUCCUGCAACUUGCCCACUGCCACCACAUCAUGUGAAUUUUUUAAACCAUAAGUUGAACUACUUACAUCAUAUAACCAAAACAAAAACAGGAAGGAAAAAUCUAGAGGUUCAUUCAUAAAAUACAUAACCGAGCCACUCGUUUACAACCAUGUCCCAAUUCCUCCAAUAUAAAAGGAUACACACUAACCACCCAACCAAAUCAAAUCCCUUUGUCCCAAUCAAGAACUGGCCCAAGAAGCCUUGAUUAGCUGCCUUGGAAACCAAAUAGACUUCUGAAUUGUCCUACUUAAGUCUAUCCUCCUCCCAACACAAGGCCAUGUGUCAAUGAUAGACCAAAAUUAACUUUAAAAAAAAAAAAAAAAGCUUUAUGAGCUACACAAUGCACCAAAAGGCAUUUUAGUCAUGCAUGCCCCCAAGAUGGGAGAAGGAAAUGAUAGUGCAUGCAUUUGCUGUACUUCAAAAAAUACUUUCAGAAAACAAAUAAGAUAUAGCGAAGCAAAACAAGACAAAAAAGUUACGCAUUAAAAGGAUCAAAAAAUUUACCAUUGGUCAAACUUGUGGCUUAAAAAAUUUCUCUUUAUAUCCUAACGUAAUUACAAGAGUUAAGAAACAGAUGUACUAACCAAGUCAGAAACAUGGUCCUACACUCGGAAGCAAAUGUUCCCGGGAUACAUUUGUCAGGAAAAAUUACAAUAUACACAGCCCUGCCAAGAGUCUCCACAAGGUUCAAGCACUGCCUUCAAGUGGUAGUUGUAAGUCCAAAAUGGAACCUUCCUUACGGCGUAUUAUAAUGCAAGUGUACUUCCUCCUUUCAGGAUCACAGCACUGGAAAAGUCAACAAACACAGAUAUAUCCACCAUCAGAAAGAGACAGACUUGUAAUAAGCUUCACUAAGCUAUCCAUUAUAUAUUGUAUUCCCUAGUGGUGCCAUCGCACAAGAAAUUUGCACUAAAUGGGCAAUCAGAAACAUUUGACUACCAGUUUAAUGAGAAAUAAUUGGAAAAAUAUGAAUUUGAAACCCUUCAAUAAUCACACCAAAAGUGACAAGGAUGUUUCACUAAUGUGUGAUGCCACUUCAGUUCAGUUAGCACACUAAAAAAGUGGCAAAGAUUAAGGCUAAAAAUCUUAGAAGACCUGUUCUUGAAAGAAAAUUGGAAGGCAAUUUUAAGAGUACCAGAAACACUUAUUUUAGAAAUUUAACCAAAAACACAAAUGAGAAGGAACAUAAACUUACUCAAAAACUUAAGAAGCCCUCAGACUAGUUAUUGAGCUGGCCUCCAGCAGUUAAGGGAAGGCAUGUCUGGUCUACAUGGCAACAUCUGUGAAACACCAUGACCUAAAAUUACACAAUCAUAGAAAUCGAUUGUUCAAUUGUAAUUUUUGAGGUCAUUUACUCCAGAAGUACGAAAGUCACUUGUGAACAAAAUGAGACAAUUUUUCACAAAGCAAACUCACCUGGAAUGGGAGCUCCAGCAGGUAAAUUAUUGGUGGGAGCAACCUGAAAUCCCAUAUUAUUUGGAGGUGGUGGCCGAAAGUAACCUGCCAGGGAAAAUGUUUUAUAAUCCAUUAGCCUGUGCAUCACAGAAAGAGUAAACCAUAAAGAAAAUGCAGGAUAUAAAACAAACUUUCCUAAACUCCCAUUUCUAAUCAUGCCAAAAGAGAAAUAAACAAGUUCAGAGGUUAAGCUGCAAUGCUUGCACAUUAGCAUGCCAGACAAGUUUACCUUCAUAUAACAAGCACAAGCUAGACACUAGAAAAAGCAUUUUGCACCUUUGCAGUGCAGGCACUGAUUGUAAAAAAAUUUAAAGGAAGGACAAAACUUACUAACAGAGUGAAAACAUUUAAUAAUAUGUAAUCAAUCAAGCUUAGUUCUGACAAUGUUUUCUGUUCAGGCCACAAAUCCUAGAAAAAUAUAACUUAAACAGUUAAACAAGCAUCAUGCUGAAAAAGGUUUCAUCAAAGGAAAAACUAAUAUGGGAAGCAGCAUGGACAAAUAGCCUACAUCAGAAAUGAUGAAAAGCAAGCAUCUGCCUGCCUACAGUUCUUUCUUUCUCUCUUUGUUUUUUUUUUUUUUUAAGCAUCUGCAAACUUGAUAUAGCAUUCCAUAUGAAUAUGAAUAACCAUGAGAUCAAUAACUUUAAUAGUAAAUAAUGAUACAAGUUCAUUUCAUUAGGAGGCAUCAUACUUUUACAAUAAAAAUAUAAAAUAAUGAAUUCAAACGAGAGAGAAACAGUUCAAUCAUUCAGUUGGCCUCUCACAGAUAUAAGUUUCAAGCAGUCAGACUACAUUUUAAAUUGAAAUGUCAUGUCAUUAACAUAAAUGUGGUUCAGCAUCCACAAUUAACAUCAUAAAAAAUAAUAUUCAAUCCCAUCCAGAUAAGAGCACAAAUUUAUCAUGCAGGCAGUUCUGUACAAAAAAAAAUUGAAUUGAUAACCUUCCUGACUGGUUCAAUAUUUUUUUUGUUUCGAAAAAAGAUCAAGGCCUUAGCAAUACAUAUGUAUGCGCACAAGUAGGAAAAGGAAAUUCAGGGAAAAAAAGUGUUCUAAUUACAAGGACACGGUUGCAUGUACCUUCCUGACCAAAAGAAGGCCCUGCAUGUGAUGGAUUUCUUCCACUCAUCCAUGCACCAUGCUGACCAUCUGCAUAUUCGCUUGAAGGCAUCCUCCAUUGUUCAUCAGUAGGAAAUCGUGGCCGUCCAUCAGGAUGUGAUAGCAUAGGGUAUGGACGGGGAUAAGGAUGCUGAGGAUGCUGCUGAAUUAGAGGCUUUGUAAAUGAGAAAUGACCAGAUGCAGUUUGUGCCAGGUUUGGAUGCAGUGGUCUUUGUGGAAAAGGUGCAUUAACCGGCUGAAAAUGUGGAUUUUGUUGAGGAGCUUGAGGGUUUAAAAACAUGUGAUUCCCGUGAGGAGUACCGCCAGCCAUUUGGACAAUUUGAUUACUCUGCAAACAGAGAAUUCAGGUCACGGUUAAACAAACUAACACAUUCACAAAAGCAACUGGACAACCAAAAUACAUACAUUGGGUGUAGUGCAGUAUUCAUGAGGUACAGCUUGUUGAUAUGCCAAUUGAGGGGACUGUACGGAUGAAUGAGAUGGUUGUAUUGGUUUGGCUGGUAACAAAGGUUGAGUUGGUACAGGUGGUUGCAGUACCAUAGUUGGCACAGGAGGAAGAGGAGGUGGUGGUUGCGAUGGAGGAGGUGGAGGUGGAGGUGGCGGUGGAGGUGGAGGUGCUGGAGAUGUUGAGGGUGGAGGUGGUAGUGGUAGUGGUGGCGGUGGCGGUGGAGAGGUAGGCAAAGGCGGGGGUGGAGGAGGAGAAUCAGGAGGCGGUGGUGGAGAAUCAUCUGGUAGAGGAAGCAACUCAACAGAAUCAUUUAAUGCAGGUUCUGGUCCAUCUGAGCAAUGCUGCUGUGGUUCCAUUUCAAAAGAACCACCUGUGGAUGAAGGUCUUUCAUCCUUUUGGUGUCCAGACACAUCUUCCAUUUCAAGUUCCACGUCCACAUCCUCUAAGAUGCAAUGUCGCCUGUCACUUGGAGUAGCAGUACAUAUUUCUAAAUCUCCUAAAGCAUGGAUUGAUCCUGUCACUCCCAACACACCAUCACCUUCCUUAAAUGGGCUGCUAGGGAAGUCCUCGUCAUCAUCCUCAAACACAUGAGAAGAUAAAAAGCCAGGCAACUGAAAUGUAGCAUUACUGGUACCAAAGCCAUGAAAACCAAUAUGGAUCUUAAAGUCAAUACCCUCCAGUCAUGGAACAGUAAAAUUUUAAAGAAAUUACUGCAUUGAUCAACUUCAUAUUUCAUCUAAAACAAAAUUCUAUUGACAAAAGAAAUGCAUGUGAUAUGGCAAGCCAUAUGGAAACACGAGGCUUUAAACAAAUUUUGCAAUGAUAAUAACAAAUGGUUGCAUAACAUAAUAAUUGAGUUUAGCUAGCAAAACUAAAAACAAGAGCUGCACAUUCGAAAUCGUACAAAACUACCUAUAGUAUUAUUGUCUUCUGCACUUCCACACAGUAGGUUCUAAGAAUGACAUCCACCACCCUAGCAUUUGCUACAUUACCUCAUUCUCCAGGAUUAUUUAAGUUCUUCAAAGAGUAUCAACUUUAAUUUUUUACUGAAAAGUUAUAAGUCCAGUCAAUUUCUUGCUAGUGGUUCAUUUAUACCUCCUGGCAAUCAAACUUGACCUUCUCCUUUUGUGAAGCCACACCAAAUAAUGCUGAUUUAUGGUUAAAUUUACAAUUUUCAUAAAUGAUAUUAAUAGGGACAAGCAGAAGGGGACAUAUCAAAUCCACAACUGGUGAUUGUAAAUGGCUCUAAAACACGAAAGCAAAGCAUAACCCUUGAAACAUAAGGAUAGAUGAGGAAUAUUCCAAUAACAUGUAUCACCUCUAAGGGUCACCAAGAAGACUACCUAAUAAUGAAUUCAGCACAAGUGGAAACACAUCCUUCCAAUCUCCAAUAGUACUCAGUAUGGUAUUGCAUAAAGGCUAAUCAUCAAAAGUUAUUUCAUACCCCACCUUUUGUGCAAAUGCUUAACAGUCCUUCUAUAAAUACAGCACUUUCUUUUAGAAAGAAAAUAAAGCAGAAAUACAAAAAAGUGUAUGGCUCAUUUGUUUUUUAGUUCAAGUCCCUAGGCAAGAACUGUGCUAACAUUCACAUGCAUUUGAGCAUGUUACAUUUUCCAACAAAAAGGUUGAUUCAGAUGUUAUGUUCCAACUAUCCAAAUCCUAAUUCUUUAACAUAACCAUGUCAUGGACCAUAUACGCAUCGAAUUUCCAUAACAGUAUGUAGGACCAUGCCAAAUGUUCUUCAAGAGACAAGAAAUAUGCCACUGAAAUAUUAUUGAAAAGAAAAGCACGAAUAACUAAGAAAACACACCUUCCAUAUUCAUCAACAAGCAUGCCUUCCAUUUCCCUGAUUGGAUCAUCUAUAGCUCGUUCAGCUCGGGAUGGACGUCUGAGGGAAAAUCCAGAAGAGGUAUCUUCAUUUGAACCUCCAAUAUCAUCCAUAUAGCGCCUCAAAACAGAUUCAGGCAAGAUUUUUCUCUCAAGCCACAAUCUUAAGACCUGGAAACAGCAAUAGAUCAAGAUAUAUUCUGAUGAAAAAGAAGAGGUCCUCUAUGAUAACAUAAAAAGAAAAUAACCUUUAAACACUGACGGCGAUUUUCCCGAGCACUAGCUCCUGCUGGAGCAGCAGCACCGAGAAGGCGUGGUAAUGCCGCUUGCACUGUCGGGACAUACGAAGCUCCAGCGAUACCUGAAUAAAGGAAAACAAAAUCAAAAACAUAACUAUGGCAACCAUCAUUAUUGAUGAUUGUGGAUACAGAAUGAACGCAUUCUUUGCUCCUCUAAUAUAUGUAGGGGUUAAAAGAGCAAGAUUGAUCGAAUCCAAGUUGAGCAGGAGGAAGCAACCUUUUUGAUUAUGUGAACACUGGGUGAUGGAGUCCACAAGAAAAAAUAUGUCCACUUUGCGGUGGAAACUGGGCUCACUUUCCAAUUUUCGGAUUAAAAGCUCCACAACCUGCAAGACCAUAUUAACAAGUUCAGCACCAAAUCACAGAACCAUUUCCAUAACUGAUUCAAUUAUACUUUGGCAAGAGAAUGAUAAUAUCAUGAGCCUAGGGAAAUCAUGAUAGAAAAAAGAACAAAGAAAAAAAAGAUGAGGUUCAGAAAAUGAGAAAAUGGAAAUUCUAUCAUGCAACACUCAUGAAAAAUGAAAAAAGGUUUAUGUUUGCACUCAAUAUAUAGAAAGGGCAUCCAAGAACCCUGAUCACAACUUAAACAAUACCAUAAUGGAUGAAUGUAUCCCGACCAUGAGGAUCCCAAAUACAAUGGGAAGUGAACUUAUCUACAGUCUUUUUGCUCAAAGACAAUUUAAAAUGAAGCAGCCUUCUUUCAUUAUUUUUUCAAGCCGCACAAUCCUCAGCAAGGAAAACACAACACAGGCAGGUUUGAAAUGUAACAAUCAGGUGGAAUAAAACUAUAAGUAAACACAAUGGAACUAACAUUUCAAGGAAAAGAUAACUAAGAACAAGAGACAUGCAACUCAUCACAGCUUUCUUUUUCUAAGAGCCAAUUCAGAAAAUAACAUAAUAAAAGGAUAGCAAACCCACCUCAUUUGCAAUGCCAUACUUGGCACAAUCAAUGGCAAGGCGAGUUGCACGUCCAAUACUUUCUUUCGUCCUUGAUAAAGUCUCUAUCAUCCCUUCAAAAGCAUCACGGGCCACAGCAGCCUCAGUACCACCACUCAGUGAACCUCCAGCAGCCCUGUGUCCAGAACUAACUCUCUGCUCCUCGAUUUCUUCACCUUCCACUUGGUCAUGUGAUGCUGAUUGGUGACCAUGUGUAGAUGGAGAAACAAAAUCUGUGCGAUGAUAAAAGCCCUGCAUAUCUGCCUGUACAGCAUUGCUAGUACCAGACAAAAAAAGUUGGCUUGGCGAGGAGCUGGGGCUCCUUCCCUGAGCAUUGUUGAGAGCUAUAAAGGCAGGGUUUCCAAGAGGAAAGGAUUGCAAGUGAGCCUGUCUCCUUUUUUCUUGAGCAGCAGCAAUGAGAUGUUUCAUAGAUGUAACAGAAUCUGGAGUCUUAGAAUCGACCAAAAAGCUGGGUCUAUCAGCCAUACCAACUUCCAGUCUGUAAUUAGGCAAGAAAAUGUAAUUUCUAUAAAGCUGAAUUAAAAAAUAUAUAUAAAAAGAAACAGAUAAAUUUCACCAGGAAAAGAAUCAUACUCUGAUAAAGCACCCACUGGAACAGUCAGGUUACUCAUUUGUGAAGUUGCUUUAGGAGUACUUUUUGGCCUUUCCCCAGAAAAAGCUGCUCUACUUUUUUGACUUGGCGCAUGAUUUUGAGAAGUGUUUGAACUAUCCAAAACAGGACCUGAAACCUUGCCAGGUCCAGCCUGGGCCUUUUUUUGAGUGCCAGGAGUGGAAACUUUAACUGCAGGGUUGAUAGCUUUAUGCUGUUCCACAAUUGGUUUGGUUGCAGAAAGCAGAUGAGGAGACCUCUUAGGGGUAGUUGUGAUUGGUUUUGCCUCCUUUGACAGUAACUGCUCAGGCUCUGAUUUGCCAGGACUUGGAGAGAUAUGUGUAUCAUUCCUCUUCACAGUUUUUGGAUAGCUGGGCGAACGAGGAUUGUUCUGUAACAGCAAAGAUGAUUCCUUGGAAUGGAUAUUCUCUAACCCAGUAGAAUCCUUGAUACUUGUCUGAGCGUUAAUAGAGUUUCGUUGUUGUUGAUUAACAGAACUUUCAAUUCGUGCAUUAGUUCUCUUGGAAGCAUCAGAAACAGAAACAGGUUCUCUGCCAUUUUUGGCAGCCCCUCCAUGAAUAGGAGUUUUGGGUUCCUCAUCUUCAUCAUCAUUGUCAUAAAGGCAAACAGCUCUUCGCCUUUUGGGCUGUUGGGUAAUGGAAACUCUCGCAUUAAUAGAAACCAUAUCACUCUUUAGCUCGAGAGCAUUUUUCUCCAUUCUGUCAUCGGUAUUGAGAGCAGCAGCAUCACACAUUGCCUCCAUUGCCCGUCUACGACGUUUUAAUACAGGCAGCACAGCUUCAUCAUUUGAAACAUCAGAUUUGGCUUUACUCAUUGGAUCAGGAACAUCAGGUUUAGCUUUGCCAAUUUCAGCAGUCGAAUCAAGUUUGACUUUACUUAUUUGAACAGAUACAUCAGUAUUAGUGUUACCCCAUUGUGCAGAAGCAUCACUUUUGACUUUAACUGUUUGGGCAGAUGCAUCACUAUCAACUUUACUCAUCUUGGCAGAUGUACCAGAUUUAACCUUACCUGGUUGAGAAGAAAGAUUAGAUUUAACUUUGCUAGUUUGGGCAAAAGCAUCUGAUUUAGCUUUGUCGCUUCGGGCUCUUAAUCCCAAAAGGAUCUCCCUUUUUCCAUGUGCCAUGGACCGUUUGGCUGCUUGGUCAUCAACAACAUUUGAGCUUGGUGAAACACUCAUGUUUUCUGAGAAAGGUCCCUUGGUAAUAUCAUCUGCCACAUCUACACACUUUGAUUUCUUAGCAGGAUUUGCAUUUUCAGUUGCUUCAAGCUCGGAUUUUCCAUAAUCAGGUUGGGCACGCUUCUUCUUUUGAAAAACCUUAUUUUCAUGUUUUUCAUCAGACACCAUAGUACCCUUCUUGGCUUUUGAUAGUUCUUUUACUUUUCUACCACCGUUGGCUUCUAAUUCUGAUUUAGGAGGACCUGGGGGGGGAUCUUUUAGACUGCCACUAGCAUGCUUGCCUUUUUCUCUGCCUAUAACUUGUUCCCUGGAGUUGCAUUCCAAUUUUCUCUCGGCCCCAGAAAACACUUUCUUAGACUCAUGGGGAUUUGUCCAUGCCCUCUCACCAGUACCCAGGUUCUUAAUGCAAUUAAGAUCCAGAUUUCCAUUACAAGAGGCUUCAACUUUUACACAGCAAACAUUAUCCAAACUGGAAGAAGAUAAUACUUCUUGUGGUUGUGCACCAUCAAGCAUUUUAACCUUCUUUUCAGAAGAUAUACCUGGGGAUGAACUGUCAUCUGCGUCACCUGAUACGGAAGGCUUCAUAUCUUCGGAGCCUGCUUCAUCUCGUCUACUGGAGCAACGCUCUAACUUAGAACUAAAUUCACGUCCUAAAUUCCAUACUUCUCCACUUUGUCCAACUUUACCCAUGUCCUCAUUCAAGUCAUCCUCUGCCUCAUCCUCUUCCAUUGAAUCAACAGAUGGAGCCUCAGAUCCUGGUGCUGAUCUAUCAGUAUUAUCUCCCAAUCCACUUGACUUUCCCUUCUGCAACUCUUCAAAUGCUGCACAGAUUUCCUUCACAGCUUGGGAAAAGAACUUAUCUUUCUUACUCUGACACCGAGCUGACAGUUUAUUCUUUACUUCAUUUGUGAAUACCUGAAUAUCAGAAGGGGCAACAAAAGCACUGCAAGAGAACAAGCAAGCAAUGGGAAGAAAUAAGCUCUAAUAAAAGGGGCAACUAACUUCAUCCAUGUACACAAUCAAGUCUCAAAGGCUCAAUCAAGUCAAGUGCUGCAGCAAAUAAACUAGCAAAUUUUUAUGUUAUCCCAUCAUAAAACCUAGUAAAUGUUCAAUUCAUUUCCUUCAUUUCUCGAUAGCUAAUUUUAAUAAAUUAGAAUGACAGGAUGAAGACAAGCUAACAUAGGUCUAGAUGCUCAAUCAAACUCCAAAAUAGUACUCGACUAAGAAUUUCUUAAUUGUACUUAAAUUUCCCAGGUUGUGUGCUCAUAGCAACAACAUUCAGUCCCAAAAUCUCAUUUUCAAAGACCUCAAUAUCAUUUACAAACCACAUCAAAAUGGUUUAAGAGGAAGAUAACUGUCAACUCCAUAUUUCUGAGAAAUAGCACACAAGUUGUACUCUACUUUUCACAAAAUAAUACAGAUAUGAAACAUAAAAGCCUCAUACUAUUGCAGUCUACUCACUAGGAUAACCACAUUCUCAAACCUUCUCCAUGUAUAAACAAACAUGUAAAAUUUUUAAUAGGGAAUUCAUAAAGAAAAACUUUUAUGAAAAACUUACAUUUCUUGAGUUCCAAAGAAAUAGACAAAAACUUUCUUAGCAUCAGGGGCUCGUUUCCAAUCUUCAGGCCGACUAAUCUGAAAUACAAACACCCAUGAAAUCUAGCUCAAGCACUAACAAAAAUGACAAACUCUCAAAGUCUCAACAAAAUAAAUUACAAUCGUUGGAGGAAGACGCCUUCACCCAGAUAAUACCAACAUCUUUCUGUUACCAAAAACCACAAAAUUACAGAAACAAUCAUUACACAAUCAUCAUCUAAUCAAAUGCACGCAAAUUAUACCAAUCCAUGAAUCAAUUAAACCCAGCAUUCAUGCCCUCCAAAUUAAUCAAAAUACUAGGGAAUGAUAUAAGUUGUAAAGUACUAGAACACUAAUACAAGCAGAGAAACUAAAGCGCUCAACAGACACCAAAUCAAGUUAAACUAAAAUCAGUAAAGAAACAAAAAUAAAACCAACUACACAAUUUAAACCCAUAUUUAAAUUGUAAUAAUUUACAACUUAAAAUGGCUAGAAUACAAAUAAAACCCACCACAAAAACCACAUUGAUUCACAUAACAAAUGAGCUAAACCCACUAAUCUUCAGAGCCCAUCACUAAAACCCAUAAAACCAACCCGAAAAAAUCAAAAUUGGAAGAAAAAAUUAACCAAUUUCUUAAGAUAAACAAUAAGGUCUGUAAGUGCAGGUGGUAGAAUUAGAAAUCAAACUACAAAAAAGUUUUUAAGACAUAAAAAUUGAAUUUAACAUUAGGGGGAAAUAACCUUCGCAGGCCAAGAAGGGUAACCCUUGACUUUAGCAAGCACAAGAUCACCCAAACGCAACUGAACUUUCUUAUUAUUCGCUCCCUUUUUACGCCCCGGAGCCAUAGGCGGUUACUUGUGUCGCUCUACUUCUCUUUGUGGUGGUGGUGGUAAUUGAUCCCGGAAAAAACCUGAAAUUCGUAAAAGGAAGAGCAGGGGCCAAUUGAAAUGGAGAAUUCGAAUCGAAUCGAAUAGAGAAGGACGUCAAACGAAUAAUUCUCGCCGGAUAUGUUCCGGCGGUAGGUGCCGGUUAGGUUUCCGGCGACAGGGGUGCUAAGGUAUCGAAGGAGGAGAGUGAGGAGUGCUAGGGUUGUGCAUUUGGGAUUUUUGAGGAGAGAGAGAGAUUGUGGAGUUUUUGGAGAGAGAAAUUGAAGCAGCGUCGACAGAGAAAGAGAGAGAUAUUUUGGGCCUUUGAUGGGUUGGGCAAAGGAAUUUGGGUUUUUGUAAUUAAGUUAAUUAUAACUUAUUCCUUAUAUUUUUCUUAACACCAAUCAGGUCUCCUUAAAUAAUCAAAUGCUCUCUUUAGCAACUCUUGACCUUCCUCAAUUAAUUUACUGUUUUUUAUUCAAAAAAUAAUUCAUUUUUUUUUCUAUAUUUCUACUCCUGAAUUUAGUAGGAUCCUAGUGUAGAUAAAUCGACUUCAUUUUAACAUAGCAUAUAUGCUUUUACAAAAAUACGUUUUGCAUUUUAUUUUUAAAGCAUUUUUUAAUGAUUUUAACAUGUAAAUGUUUAUAUUAUAAUCAUUUAAAAUAAACAUGUUAAAAUUAUAGCUGUCCAUCUCGAUAUAGUUGACAUGAGACAUAAUUUAUUUCGAGUUUAAAAUUAAAUUAAUUAAUAAAUUAAUUUGAUUAUACCUUAUUGAUCCAAAAAAAAUCAAUUAAUUUAUUCUAACUGAUCUCAACUAAUUCAAGUAAAAUAUAAAAUAUAUGUAAAUGUGCAUGUAAUCAAAUAAAAAAUACUAAGAAGUGGUUAACCUUAAUAAACCCGCCUAAUCCAAUUUAAAAUUUUAAACCCCGACAUGUACAUAUAAAGUCAGAGCAAUAUUUUAGUCCUCCAUUUAAAAAAUAUAAAAAUGAAAAAAAUAAACAAACAAAAUGAGAUAAUGCAUUUUGUAUAGAAAAUUCAAACAUAAUCUAGACUAGUUGAGAGAACAAAAUACAAAAUCUUUUAUUUGCUCUAAUUGUUUUUCUUCAUUCUAUUUAGAAAAAAAAUGUGAAAUUAAUUAAGGUAUUGUGUUAUGAACUAAUUAAAAUAUAGGAAUUAUAUAUAUAUAAUUUCGAAAUUGUGAGGAUUGAGUGAAUAGUUUUGUCAAUUAUAGAGAUUAAGUUAUAAUUAACUCAAUUUUAUUAUUAUUAUUAUUAUUAUUAUUAUUUUCAAUAAGGAACUCCUUUUGCAUCUGUUAUGUCUGUCUGUCAUUGCAGAGCAUUUGUAUGGACAAAAUAUGAUUCUUUGGAAUGCAUGUCGUUUUACAAAUCCCUUUCGUAAAACAAAAAAAAAAAUCUAUCAUCCUAGAAACUAAAUCAAAAUGAAGUCUGAUUUUUUUCUCAAGAUUUUUCUGUUUCCAGUAAUGGAUAUCCUUCAAGGCUUUCAGAAAGAAAUGAAGUCGAUAUCUUCCAUUGACCCGGUACCUUUAUAUAUAUAUAUAUAUAUAUAUAUAUAUAUAUAUAUAGACACAAAAAAACUAUCCAACCUUUUAUUUAAAUUAAAAUUAAAAUUUGCACUAAAAACGAUAACACACAGGGAAUCAACAUAUUUAAACCAAAUCUUACAAGUUACAACCCUUUUCUCUUUAAAAUUUUGUUGUGGGAUACAUGCAUCAGGUUACUAAACAAUUUGAUUGGUUUUCUGUCAGUUCUACUAGUCAAAAGCAGAGUUUACACUGCCCUCAGGCCUCCAUUUGAAACCAAUUUUCCAAUGCAUCAUAUGGAGUGCAGAGAAGGAUAGAGAAUGUUCUUGUUUGAUUCAAGUUUCAAGCAGGUCAUCAAAAACCUUCAAUCCAAAAUCUACUAACUCAUCAUCCAAACUCAGCUCACGUCUGCAUUUCUUUAAUUUCAUGCAGUAGUUAGGUUCAUGUUACAGAGUGUCAUAAAAGCUGCUAAUUAGUGUGUGUUUGGUAUCAUGUGAUUUUUAAAAGUGCUUUUCGUUUAAAAACAAAUCAAAAUAAUUUUUUUCAGAUUUUUUUUUCAUUUUUAACAUCAACAUAUCAAAACCAUUGGAAAACACUAACAAAAAACAUCAAUUUAACACUUUUUAAACCAAACACACCCAAAGUAGUUUUAACGCAAAACAAACAGUCCAUAACUACUAUGACCUGGUUCUUCAUCCUAGACCCAUAUCCUGAUUCCCUAAUCAUCUGAUGCUGAAAUCACAAGAGGACUAUGGGAACUUGUGUAGCAUCAUUUGAUCAUAUUCAAAAGCUUAACCUCUGCGUGCAUGUAUCCAAUGCACCAUAACAAAAUCAAGAAGUACAGGUGUGGCAGCAACUGUGUAGAAAGAUAUGCAACAAGAAUCAAUAACUUCUAUGACAAGUCAAGCACAAGAUUAUUUCAGAUCAUCUCAUGCACAUCAAACACUAGAGAAAAUUGAAUUCUUCAAGAUUUAUGUGCCUAAAAGCUAACGUGGCCAUUCAAUGAACUUGUUUUGCAAAACCGAAUCCAAACACAAUCAAAACUGAAAUCAUGAUAAGCAAAGAAAACAGCAUAUUUUAUAACCAACAAAAUCAUAAGAUAAAUAAGGAAAAGUUCACCACAAAAAUAAAAUAGCAAUGCCUCUCUUCUGAGAUCUUACCCUCUAGUCCUAGCUCGAACCCUUUUGUUUACUUUCAUCGCCAACAGCAUCAGUCACCAGAGUCAUGGGUCUUUGAUCAAUCACCUCAUCAAUAAUUCCAAAUUCCUUUGCCUCUUCUGGGGUCAUAAAAUAAUCUCUAUCCAUAUUUUUCUGAAUUACAUCAAUUGGCUUCCCUGUAUGCUUGCAGUACAAUUGAUUCAGUGCAUCCCAGACCCGAACUAUCUGCUUGGUGUGAAUUGUCAAAUCCUUUGCCUGUCCGCUGUACCCACCUGAUGGCUGAUGAAUCAUAAUUGUUGCAUUUGGAAGUGCCUUCCUCUCACCCUUAGCCCCAGAAGCCAAAAGGAGGGAAGCCAUAGAUGCAGCUUGACCCAAACAAAUGGUAUUAACUGGAGACCUUAUGUACUGCAUUGUAUCAUAAAUAGCAAGACCUGCAAAGAACAGCACAAUGAUUGACAUUAUAACCUAAGCCAUGCCUCAGAAGAUGACUUACUUUGAAAAACUUCAUAUAUUUAAACAAUAUAAAUAAUUCAGCCUAAAUCGAAUUGACAAUAAAUUUAGCUAUCCCACACUCUAUUCCAUUACAAGUAUUCCAAUGCUACAUUUAACAACGCAAGACCUGCUAUGCGAAAGCAGUUAAAUUCCAUUCUAUAGAUUGGAUGGCAAUCAGUAAUUCAUAAUCGCCACAUCUUGAUAGAAUUGUGAACCAGUUGCAAGUUAAAUAAUAAGUUCUGUUAGUUGAUAAACACCAUGGCCAAGAGUACUUUUAAAUUUGAAGUCCAAAAGCACCAACCGACUAGAAAACUUGAGGGAAAAGGAAAAUAGUCAUCAGCAUCUGCCACAUGUCUUAUACUGACAAGUAUUCACAUGCUAUUGCAUCAAAAUCGUUAAUUGUGCAUUAUGUGAGGUAAUUUAACAGUUCUUUCUCACCUGGGAAGUAUCUAAAGGGAAAUGGAAACAAAACCGCUGGAAAAUUCAUCUACUUCAGAAUUACACAAACAUUCAAAAAGUCCCAACAGUAAACUGCUCUUCCAAUGACCUCAAUAUAAUCACGCAUUCAUAAUACUAUAGACAAAAUACAAAUUAACUCAAUACCUUCCACACAACCAUAAUUAUAAGCAAAUAAAGACAGAGAAGUACAAUGAUAAUUCAAACCAAUUGGCUUUAGUAGGAAAGGCAUUGUAUGACCUCAAGCAAUUCUUAGCAGCAUAUCUCAUCGCAUAAUAAGCUAAGCAUUUCAGUUGGAUCAUUUAGUUAAGCAUGUCAAAUGGCACAUCAAGAACCUUUUUCCACUGUAAUACAACUUCCAAUGAUAUACAAGAACACUAGCGAUUAGACAUAAAAAAAGCCCAUGACUACCAUGAUUUUCUUUAUAGGCACUGUAAGCAAGCAGAAACAAAGUGCACCAAAAGAAAUCACCUACUAUCCUGCCCAAUCAUAACAACUGGCUUCUGUUAUAUGGCCCCACCCCUUCAACCAAGAAAUCAGGAAACAUUUGAUUCACUUAGUUAGACCCACUAAAUUGAACCCAAAAGAAAAAUUGCCAAUUUACUAACCCUAUUCACCGCUCCAUGAAGAACCUGAAAGCUCAAACUACACUCGAUAGAACCAAACACUAAUCAAACUCCUUAGUUAUUAACAAAAUCAGGCAUCUACACCUAAAACUUUCCAAAUCAAAAUCCAAGACACUAACAAAGAUCAGACCUUUGUGACAGAAUCAAAAUCCUAAAUAAUCCAUGCUAAAACGCAUCUCAAUAUAAUUCAAAUUGAAUCUACAACAUUAACGGGCUCAAAAACCCAUUGCAGUAAUAAACAACCUGAAAAGAAUCAAAUCAGAUCACAUUUUAAAUCAAUUCCAAGAAAACUGUAACAGAGCACUAAAAUUACGCCAGCCCACAAAACCAAACAGACGAUAACACGCCCCAAACACAAAUUAAGCUAAAACCCAUCUAAAAAAAUCAAAACCUCAGCACUUUAGAGUAUCGAAUCACCUGCGGUAACAUGUCCACCAGGAGAAUUCAGAUACAUAUGAAUAGGCUUAGAAGGAUUCUCAGACUCAAGAAACAAAAGCUGAGCAACAACAACAUUAGAAGUAUCAUCAUUAAUGGGGCCAUUAAUACAGACAAUUCUCUCUUUUAAAAGCCUAGAAAAGAUAUCAUAAGCUCUUUCUCCUCUUGAAGAGUGUUCAAUAACCAUUGGGAUGAGACUAUAAGCUCUAGUGGUAGAGGUUUUGGGGGACAAGAGAAAAGAGGGUUUUGGUUUAGUUGUGGAAGUGAUGAGCUUGGUCGUGGAGAAGAGGGCUUUCAUGGCUGUUGAUUUGGGUUUGGAAUUGGAGAGAGUGAGAGAGGGAAAUGAGCGUUUGAGAGAAACUGGGGAUUUUGUUUGGGUUUAGGAGAUUGGGUGCUGUGAUUUUUAAGGAGAGGGACAUUAUUAGGAGAUUUGGUUAUGUGGAAGUGGUGGAAUUACUGGAUUCUAGGAGAUUGUAUAAUUAAUUUAUAAGCUUAUUUUAAAAGUAUUUAACUAUAUAUUUAUGGCCUUCCCUAUUUUUCAAUUCUUUAUUGAUUUAUUUAUUUACACUAUAAAAUUGUCUUUACUUUUUAAUUGAGAAAAUGCUUAGUUACAAUUUAACGUUAGUGUGAUGAGAAGUAAAUAAUUUCUAAAAUAAAAUGAUUGUUUACUUGAAAAAAAAAAACAUUUUUAAAAGUGGAUUGUAUAUGAUGAUAAAUGCAAUAUUAUUUAAUAUUGAAAGAGCUCUAUUAAAAAGUAAAGUUCUUUCAAAAGACCGAGCUAUUUGGAUCAAAUUCAAAAUUAAUACCCUUUUUAAUAGAGUUUAAAAUGUGUAUUAAAAUUAUUUUCUCACAGCUCUUUCUAGCAUUUGAAUCUAGAAUAAUAAUAUGAAAAAUAAAUUUAUUUACCAUUUUAAUUAAUCUCAAGUAUAAAGAAGGUUAAUAAUCAUGAGAAGAAAAAAACUUCAUAAUUAGAUGAAAUGAUAUGGUUCUGAAUGAGCGGAUGAAAUGGUUAAAAGAAUGAUCAAGCAAGAAAACUUGUGAAAAAUAAAAUGACCCUAUUUUAUAUUGCUCGUCAAAAAAAUAAAAUUCAUGGAUGAUAUAACUGUCACGUAAAAAUGGGAAUUUAUUUUCAACGCAAGUUAAAAUUAAAAUAGGGAUUUUUAUUGGGUUUUGAAUGGGAUAAAUUUAGUUGUGCAGGUCCUUUUUUGGCAUAAAGAGAGGGUGGAGUCUGGAAUUUGUAAGGGAGAGAAUUUUUGGCUUUAAACGACAUGACGUUGGGUUGGAUAGGGUUGGAUUGGGAUGAAAGAGGUCUGGCCCAUUAAUGGGUGGAUGUGACAAUUAAGCCCAAAGUUAUUGCCUAAAGAAAUCCAAAAUAUAUUUGAUAAAUAAGUUUUACGAAUGGAAGAAAAAAUUAUGCAACAGUCGCCUCCUCUCCCUUAUCAAGAUCAUUAGUUCCGCAAGAACUGAUGAGGCUCGCCCCUUCUCAAGCCAGCAACUGCGUUUUCCCUUCUUAUGAAUGCACUAAAGAAACGACUGGGUCCAUUUCGUUAAGCAACAACGGCAAACUAUAAGCUCAAAAUUGAUUAACAUCACAAUCAAUAUUCCACAAUGACCUCAAACUUCUUCACCGAUACAAAGUCUCGAAUAAACCAAAUAAAACAAAACUAUCCCAUAUUGCCUUCUCGGUUCUAGAAAUAGUAGACACCUAAAAGAAGUCCUGAAAGAACAAAAUGAUGCACUUAGAACAGAGAUGUUCCCUUUCCCUUCUUGUCUCCACCAAUCUCAAAGUGCUUGCACCUCUGUGGAAAUCAUUGGCAGUAACAAACAUUAACACAGUUGAAAUCACAAGGUAAGAAACCACAAUAAAAAAUCGCUUGCAUGACCAACCUUGAUUGCGUGCUGAGACACGUGUUUGCAUGCCUGGCAUUGCAGCCUCAACACAAUUUUCUUUGUUGUCUUUGCCUGUUCAGAGAAAAGAAAUCAAUAACAACUCAACUAUGCGUGUAAGAUGGAGGGAAAAAGGGAGGGAAGAGAAGGCCUCAGAGCUAGUCUAUGUUUCAGUCAUUGGUUAGACAAUCAGACAAUGUAGGCAAAUUCGAAUCAUCAUAGGCCUCUAAAGAGAAUUCAGAUACAAUGAAAAGAUAGCUUUAGGGUGGAAUAAUAGGUACAACAUAAACAUUUUUCAUUUUAACAUCAACCAACAAGGACAGGGAAAAAAAGGAGGAAGGCCUCAGAACUAAUUCAUGUCUCUGUCAUCAGUUGGAUGAUCAGACAAUGUAGGCAAAUUUUAAAUCAUCACAGGCCUCCAGAGAGAAUAUUCUGUAACUACAAAAAUAUGUUUUCUGGUGGUGUUUACAUACACUAUUAAGAUUUCACAAUCAAGCAUCAUAAAAUAUUUUUUCCACCACUGAAUACAAGCAAAUUACAACUUACAAUAUGGGGUAAAAAAACUCAAAAACUGAUCUCUGUCCUAGAGGGACUUCAUGUAUACCAAGUUUAGGAAAGAAUAAGAAACAAACCUUCUUGUGAAACACUGGUUUUGUCUGACCUCCAUAACCAGAUUGCUUGCGAUCAUAACGACGUUUCCCCUGAGCAGCAAGGCUAUCCUUCCCCUUUUUGUACUGAGUGACCUUGUGCAAGGUGUGCUUUUUGCACUCCUUGUUCUUGCAGUAGGUCUUCUUAGUCUUAGGAACGUUCACCUGUAAAAAAUAUCAUUAAUCAAUCAAAAAAACAAGAAAAGAAAACAAUAUGAUGCAACCUCUUAGAAAUUCUCAAAUACCACAGUUUAAAAUACAAGGUGCAAAUACAUUAUGCAACUGGAACAGGCUUCCAUCAAACAAGCAGCAUCUCAAACGUUAAAUUCACUCUCUUACUAUAUUUUAAAUCAGCAUAAAACCGCUGUUUUUCCUCAUUAGCCCAUAUUUUUAAAUCAUUCCAACUCUCUCUCUAUCCAUGCACGCGUUCAUCUCAGUCAUGCAUUUCAUUAUACUUUUAACCACCAGCCCCGCAAGCCCUCCAUUCCCAAAAGUUUCCGCUCUCCUUGAAACCAAACUUUCACUAAGAGCAAUACUUUCGUACACACGAAUCUCUAGAGAACAAGCUAAUCUGCAACUAACACGUGCAUAAAGCCAAUCUCUAACAAAAACAAAACCACAGACAACUCACUAGUACAAAACCAAAUCUCGAACAAAGCAGACAACAUUAAAUUCUUUGAUUACUAAUGAAUCUAAACUUUAUAAAUCACAGUUUCAACCUAAAAAAAACAAAACCACAGCCUCCAUCUUUUUAUAGUUAAACGACCUCAGAAAUGAAAGAUAGAGAAAACCCAGAUGCAAAAUCAAGAAAAAAAAUGUUGCCGCAAAGAGAAUCUGAGAGGGGGGAGAAGGUUACCAUUGUAGGCGGAGAAGCGGAAGAGCUCUGGCUGCAAAGGAAGUGGAGAUGAAUGAAUAGAGUAGAUUAGGGUUUGGAGCUUCUUUAAAUAACAAAGAUUAUGGGCCGAAUCACGGAUCCGGACUUGAGAAGAAUACUGGGCCUGGGCCCCAUUUUACCGAUUUUUUUUUUCUUCUAAAAAUUAAUCAUAUUGUCCCUUAAAAGCUAGUGGUGGUGUAAUUAUGAUUGACCUAAAAUCUCGCUAGAGGUGGCGUUACUGGUAUAGUUAUAAAAGUUAAGAAAUUAAUUAUGGUAGUAAUUAUAAUUUAUUUUUAAAUAUUAAUUUUUGAUUAAUUAUUAUAAAUUAAGAAUUAAAUUUGAGUAUAAUAACUAUAAAUUUAUAUUUUUUUUUAGUUAAAAGAACUGUCAAAAUUGACAAGGAAGAAAUGUUAUUAUUCAUGGGUUGAUUGGAUAAACAAUAGGUUAAUCCAAGUCUAAAUUUCAGGUAGCAAAAACAAUAAUAAUUUUGUGUUCUUAAAUAUUAUUUUACAAUAAAUACAGGUUCAAGCCCAAGUCAUGCUUAAAACUAGAGCACGGGUCGGGUCGGGUCAUGCCGACACUCACCCGUGUACAUGAGUUUAAACCCAAAGCCUAAUUUGUCUAGAAUCUCUCCCCUCUAAAAGUUUGGGUUUCUUUUGGGCCAAAUCUUAUUUUUUUCAACUACUUACUUUAUAAACACUAGGAAAGUGUUAUUUCUUUUCAAUAUGAAAUAAAGUUUUUUAAAGCAUUUUAGGUUUCAUCAAAAUACACCAACUAAGGGUUCUUUAAAAUCAACUUCUCAUUCAUCCAUAAUUUAUUUAAAUCAUGUUAAUAUUCUAUGUUAAAAAGCAUAUGUUGAAGAUUAAACCCCCAACAAAGUUUUAACCCCAAAAGUGAGUGAACAUCACUUUAAUUUGGUAUCAAAUAUGCUUAUUAACCUUGUUAUUUAAACAAACUUCCAAUAAUUCCUCACAUGAAUAGAAAUUGUCUUACCAAUUUUAAAACAACUCAAAAAAAAAUUGAGAGAUAUUGAUUUAAUGAAUCACUACAUUAGGAUAAAUAACUUUAGCUUUGAACCUUUCUUAGUGAAAUAUUAUCAGAUUUACUCGUUAAAUAGUGAACACGAUGUCUUGUUUGUGUAAGUCAAGACAAUAGUACUCAUAAAGUUAUUUACUUAGAGAUUUGUUUUUGUUCUCAUUGGUUGUGUUCAUUUUAAUUAUGAACAACUCUUGAAUUUAUGAGUGUUUUAGAUAAUGCAAUCUUUAUCGGAAUUCUCAAAGAGGUGCCCACAUUUUUUAUUUAUAUAGGUGAUCUUUUGUUAAAAGUAUUUUAUUAUACUCCACUUCGUAUACCGAGAUAUAAAAAUCAUUUAGAGCACAACUCAUCAUUCAUUAUCAGAAUAAGCAUGAAAUAAUAAUUUCUUAGUGCGACCGAGAAUGUUAAAUAACUUAGUUUUUCAUUUGAAUCUAAUUCUCGUGUUAUCCAAUCAACUAGGUAUAGAAAUAUUACUCAAUAUUUUCCUCUAUAAAGGAAAUCUACACCACCCCUAUAUUUGAUAAUUUGUAGGUACUAAUCUCUAUAUCUCAUUUGUGUUUAUCACACAUUAAAAUACACUCAUUUAAUAGAUCAUAAAAUGAAGAGAGUCUAUAUAUUUUAUACUAUGUUGGUUAGCAUAAAAAAAUAAAAUGGGGUUAGUCAUUAAUUGUGACUUUGAAUAGGUUCUACUAAUCAAUUAUGAGUUUGAUUGAUGGGUUAAGUCAUUAAUUAUAGGUAUUCAUCAAUUAUGGCUUUGAAUGGGGUAAAACUUCCUAUAACAGUUUUUCUAGAUAAAAAAAAAAUUCAUCCUCAAGUUCAAAUUACUCUUAUCUUGUUUUUAUGGAUAUCCAAUUAAAGUUGAGUCUAUGUCUAGUUGUAUAUAAGAAAAUCAAGCGUACAACCUUUCUACUUUAUCUUCUUUUCUUAAAGAAAGUGUAACAUAAAAAGGUUUGGUAGCAAUUAUUUUCCUAUUCAUCAACAAUAACUAUAGUUACUUAGUAAAACUAGUUGCUAGGUUUAUUGACAAGCACCUACUUGCCAACCACCAAAGCAGUUCCUUUACUAAACAAUUGAUACAAAGAAAUUUGGCAUAGAAGUCUCUCAAAACAUCAUACCAUGCACUCUAUUUGGCUCUUUAUAAGAUGUCUUCUCAUUCUUUAAUACAAAUGCCUGAUCAAAAUCUCCUAACCAAACAUUGAAUUCAAAAUCUAGCAUAACAUUAUUGUCCUUAACGUCAACUAAUAUUUUCUUUUAUAGUAACCCAUUUUUUUAACACAAUAAAACCACUUCAAAAUUUAUCAAGCAUCAACUUUAAACACUCGAUUACUGACAGGGUACAUAUUGAUUUUUUUGUGGCUUAAAAUUUCUUUUACUUCAAUACAAUCAAAGUUAGCUCCAAAGAACUUAGUUAGAAUAUCAAAUAAUUCCUUACUUUCAUGAGAGAAUCCUUGUAAAUCCCAAUUUACAAAAUUUUUAUGAUUUUUGCAAUCCUCAAUAUCAAUAAUAUCUUGAGCUUCUUCCUUAUCAAAUUGUGACAGUUGAUUUAAUCCACAAAAAAAAACUAGAAUAAUUAAUUAAGAACUUCAGUUUCAACACCAUUGUGUUGUUGUUGAAAUUUGUCUAAUAAAUCUCGAUCAAGAGGUUGCUUUUUUUACUCAUACCUCUAAAAUAGGUUCUUAAAACUAGCAUGGUCUCUCUUCUGUAGGUUCUCCUUUGCCAAUUAAUGUGUUAAUUCUACAGCUUAUCUCUGUAAGUUUCUCAUUGCUAAUCAAUGUGGUAAUUCUGUAACUUAUCUCUGUAAGUCCUUAAUCACUAAUUCUUUGACAUUUCAUUUCUUAGAUGGAACCUCAUCAUCACCCUCUACAUGAACAUGCCUUGUUUGAUGACCUUCUCCAACUAUAAUUAUUUAAUAGCAUAUAAUAGCUAAUUACAAAGGAAUUAUUGGACUUUAAUACCAACUGGCGUAACUUUGAUACCAAUUAACAUAGAAAUACAUAGACAAAUAUAGAAUCAAAGAACAAGAAAGACAAAAUUUUAGAAAAAAAAAAAAGAUCUUAACACUAAGAACCCAAUUUUAUCACUAAAUAUUUUUCUCAAAAAAGGAACUCUACACCUCCCCUGUAUUUGAUAAUCAAUAGGUAUGAAUCUCUCUAACUCUUUCUUGUGUUUAUCACACCAUACACUACACUCACUUGAUGGAUCAUAAAUGGAAGAGCGGCUAUAUAUUUAUAUUAGUCGGUUAACAUAGAAAACAAAAUGAGGUUAGCCAUCAAUCGUGGCUUCGAAUCAAGUUAGUCAACAAUGUGGUUUUAAAUGGGGUUCUAGCUAUGAAUUAUGGGUUUGAUUGGGAUUGUAGUCAUCAGGUGUGGGUUUGAAUGAGGAAGGACUUCUUGCAUCACUCUAGGUCUAUUAUUUUUCUUAAUUUAUAGGAUAAGAAUUAGGUCUAAGAAUUAUUAUUAAAAGGAACGGUUCAUUGUCAUUCUUUGAACUACCUCGAUACUAAUUUUGAUACAAGUUUCUUUCAAGCUUUUCAACAAUUUAUCUUUCUUGUAAUUAAGCUUUCUUGCAAUUUACUUUGUGAGUUAUUUACAAUUUUAUGCUUUAUCUUUUAUAUAAAUUACUUUAUAUUAAGUUUAUUUUUUUCUUUACAAUUAUUACUGUUUUAUUUUGCAUGUUAUUACCUUUACAUGUUUUUAAUUUUAUCACUCAUACUUCCAAAGUAAUCUAAUAGUUUCUCUUAGUCUUAGAUAUCAGCAUGUUUGAUGUAAAUUUACGUAGUUUUAUUUAUAAUAAAUCUUCACGAUUUAUUUAUUUUUGAACCUGAGUAAUAUUUCUGAGUAAUAUUUAAAGAAUUGUUGGCCGAUUUGUACAUAUUUGUUUAAGAUUUAAUAAAAUAUUAUGAUACAUAAUGGAUAUUAAAAAUGAUAAAUUUGAGAAUUUUAAGAAUCAAAUUGAUUUUUUUUUUUAAAUAUUGAGUAACAAACUGGUUUUUUAUGAAUUACACUUACAAUCCACAUUAUUAGUUGUUACAAUAAAAGCAGCAACAGUUUUAGCUUACACUAUAAUAAUAAAAUAUGAUACAAGAGAUGCUGGCGACAAGCUAGUGACAAUGACCAAAGGUGAAAGGUUUUUUUUCAAUCCAGCUUAGAUAAUUACUAGAUUAUUUUACCGUGCUGCAAGUUAACUUAAUUUUUUUAAUAUAAAAAAAUAUUUAGACAUUAAUAAUAUUUUUCUAAUAAUUUUUUUAAUCAUCUAAGGAUUAAUUUAAUGUGAAUUGAUUAUCUUGGUGGGUCAAAAAACAACCCAAAAGACAUGUAAAAAUAUAAUUUAACUCAAAAUAAAUAUUUAAGAUAAUUUUUUUUAAUAAACAUUAAAAUGAUAAUAUAUUAGAUUGAUUCGGAUCAAUCCGUUAAUCUACAUACUAGGUCAAGAGAUCAUGAUAAUUCUAUAGAAAAAAAAUAAAAGAAAAUUAUAAAGUUUAAUUUUCAAUAAACCUAAUGAUGAAGGAAAAAGCUAAAAAAAAUAAAUUAAAAAAGAAUCCAAGAAAAUAAUUCAAGUCAACCUGAGUUAACAUGUCAAACUCACAACCCAGGUUAGAUAACCUAAUAUAAAAAAAAUUAAAAAUUUAAAAACUCGAUUCUUAAUUAACCUAGUAUUGAAAGAUAAAAUUAAAAAAAAUACAAAAAAUAAUUCGAGUCAACUAGGAUUAACAAGCCAAACUUGUGACCCAAGUCAUGAGAUGAGGAUAAUUUCUUAGAAAGAAAAUCGAAAUAAAUCAAAAAAUUUAAUUUUCAGUCAACUCAAUGUUAAAGGAUAUAAUUGAGAAAAAAAAUCAAUUAGAAAAAGAAAAAUAAAACUCGAGUUAACCCAUUAAACUCGUGAUCCGGGUCAUGAGAAAGAAAUAAUUGUAUAAAAUAUAAAUUGAAAAAAUUAUAAAACUCAAUUCUUAAUAAAUCUAAUAUUAAAAAAUAAAAAUAAAAUUAAUAAAAAAUAAAAAUUUAAAAGCAAACAAACAAAAAGAAAAAUUAUUCCGAUGAAUAAUAUUGUAACGUGAGAAGAGGUAAAGGAAAACCCUAUGCUCCUUUGUUUUUUUUCGGUUAAUACUCAUUGCAUAUACAAAUCGCUACUUAAGUAAAGUCCCUUUCAUUUUUCCUCUUUUAGAAGAAGUUAAUUAAGACCCUAACUAAAAAUUAGCAAAAGGUCUUCAUUUGAUUAAUUUGAUCUCUUUAUCAAGAUGACAUGAAAUGAGAUAACGUGGAAGGCACGGCCUCUUAUCAUUUUUACAUAUUCAAACUUCAAACGCAAUCACAUUAUCCAUUAGGGCUCUUAUUUAAAACAAAAAUUGAGUUGGUACCACCAAAUCCAUUAGAAAUAGUCUAUGUUUUGUUCAUAUUUUAAAAACGCAGCUUGUUUCUUCGGAUAACUGUUGGGAGAAAAAGGGGGACGAACACAAAUAUAUACUAAAUAACAGCCCAUAAAAAAUAAGGCAUAAACUAUAUAAGCAAAUAUCAAGCAAAUUAACUUUGAGGGGUGUAAUUUAAGUGGUCAAAUUCAGGGUUUGCUCUCUAAAAAUCACCAAUUCAAGUGUCACAAAUUUCAGGGCUAUUGGAGGCUUAUCUAAUCGUUAAUUUCAGGGUCUCGGGAAAUUAAUCGAGAUACACGUAAACUAACCCGGACACCCAUAAUUAUUAAAAAAAAAAAAUUCGAGCAAACUAUUCUAGCCCCUUGAUUGAAAAAUGUUCCUUUUCACUCUCUAUAUUAGAACCUUUAGCAUGUUAAUCCUUCAAGUAAAUGAAUGCUAAGGGGAGCUCUAUUGUCUUUGAGCCUUUUGAGUUAAGAACUUCGAUGGUGGCUAUGGCAAGCAUAGGAGAUGAAGGAAAGGGCACUCCAUUACGUUUUGUACGUUAACUAUUCUAUGGUGGAGGGCCAAUCUGAAACGUUUUCAAAACCAUGAGAUCAACUUUGAAGAAGGUCAGACGAUGGAGCCAACAUGGAACAUUAUGAAUCUAUAGGGACUAAAAUAUAAUUCAUCAGCAAAAAUUAACAUUACUGAUUUGCCUCUGUCUUUUCUUAAUCCCCUAGUGGUUUGGUGGUGUUGCCAAGCAAUAGGUACCAAUAACUGACCGCCACGAGCUAGCCGCCAAACCCUCUAUAUGGACAGGAAACAUUUUAGUAAUUUCAACAUCACGUGACCCAUAUGAAAGCCAAUCAAAAAACAACAAAAAUGUAGAAACUAUGCACACUUCUAGAACUUUGACUAAUUUUUUUUUUUGACAAGUUUAGACAUAUUCUACAGAUAAUUCACACAAAAUGCCACCAAGAAAAGAAAAGAACAUCGCCAUAACUAACAUGUAAGUCAUAUACAUCAAGAAUUUUGAAAAACAGGAAGAUAAUUCUUGAAAAUUAAAUGCUCAAGGUGAUUCAAAAAUAUUUAUGAAAAGAGAAAUAUGCACAUUUAAUUAGAGAGAGUGAAAAAUUUAUCUAAGCAACCAAAACUCAUGAUAUAGAGCGACCUUUGCGCUCAAGGAAUCCCUCUAAGACCACUCUCUUCUUAUAGUCCUCGGAAUCAAGAUUAAAUUCUCUUUGAAUCAAACCAUUUUUCACGUCGUCUUCACUUCUUAAUCGAGGGACAAAGUAGAACCAGGCGGAGGCACAAAGAAUGGCACAUAAUUUGCCCCAUAGCAACAUUAUCAUCAAGGUCAUAACAACAAUCGACAUACCGACCAACGGGUCAAGUUUCUUCCCAUUUGGACGAUCGUUUUCUUUACGGGGCUUCCCAGCCGUGACCCAGGAUCUCCCCCGCGUGUUUGGCACUGUUGCUGGUUUUUCAUGUGGCAGUGAGGGGGAGGAUGUUGAUCGGGUUAUCGAUACGAUUCGAAUGGACUUUGCCUUGACUUCCGGUGAACCGGGUUGGCUCGUGCCGGUUCUUAUAGCAUCUAUUUUCCGGCGAAAGGACAGCCUUUUUUUACUCGUGCCGUCCUUUGGAUUUUCCGCGUGAUCCGAAGGUUUCCCAUUUUCGAGGAUGAUGUCUUGCUCAGACCUGUACAAUGUCUGAAACAGAACAUGAUAAUUAACUACCUUCUAGUUAUCCUAACUUACGCCAAAGUUGGCUAAAUUUUGCUAAAAUACGCCAUUGCUAAUUUUUCUUGGUUAGUGUUUUUCACAUACCUGCUCCGGUCUCUCUUUCGGCGCUCGAUCUGAACUGACUCUUGCCGGAGUUUGACGGGGCGUCCCGUGACUGGUUAAGGGUUUUUGACGCUUUGACUUUGAAGCGUUAGGAGUUCUCUUACUGUCAGGCACGGUAGAGUCGAAGGGGACUGUUUUGGUGCCUGGGCUCUUGAUGCAAAACCAUGACCAAGGAAACCGACUUCUUUGUCUCUUUAAUUUCUUUCUUUCUGGGAGGAUAUCAAUUUUGUUGGGUUUUUUCUCGGGAAAUGAUCUUGGUUUCCUAGAAAAUCCUAAAAAUCCAAGGAAACGGCUGAUUAUUGUCCUGGUCUUUUUGGGUUUGGAUUGAUGGGAUUGUUCUUUGAGGUUUGGUGUGAUAUUAACGUGCUCCAUGGGAGGAGAGAGAGGGAGAGAGCGGGAGAGAGCGAGAGAGAGAGGAGAGAGAGUGAGUGGAUGAAGCCGGUAUAUGGAGAGUUUUGAAUAUUGAAUGCUGCUGGGAACGGUUAGUUACUAUUGGGUCACCAUUAUCUAACUAAGCACUCUAUGGUUCCUAUGUUUAUGGUCUAUUGUCUAAAAGUCUUAACGAGUAAUUAGAUGAAUUAUUUUUGCUUGCAUUUUAAAUAUUUUCCGACUAGCUUUUAAUUACUCGUAUUUGAAUUAUAAACAUUUCAUUUUACACUUAUUAAAAUUGGAUAUAUAUAUAUAUAUAGACUAUAAAAUGAUUAUUUUACAUGAAAAUCUUUCUUGUAGAAUCAUUUAUUGGAAAUGUAAUUACAUGAAGACAAAUUUUAAUUGAAAUCCAAAUCGUAUGAAAUUUUGGUUAUAAAUAAAAGAUUUAAAUUCAAGAUUUUUAAAAAAUAAAAAAAGAUAAUGAAUAUCAAUUGAACCACUAUCUUAUUAGUUAAAAAAUAUUAAGUUGUAUAAAAUUUCAUAUGUACAUUUUAGUAAUUCAAUUUUCAAAAUUUCAUAUAAAUAAUUGAUCAAUUAUAACAAAUAUCACGUUUAUUGUUUAAAAAAAUCAUUGAACAAGGUGGCCAAAUGGAUGUAUCAACUUGAUCAAACUAACUGUUAGGUUGCAUUUAUUGAGAUUUUAUGUAAUUUGAUAGUUUUUAGGAGAUAAGAUAGUUAAUUUUUAUGAUUAAGAAUAUUAAAGAUAAUAUUAUUUCUCUAGAUAUUUUGGAUAGUAGGAUAACAAACUCCUUUAUAAAAUAUAAAUCAAAAGCUACCAAAAUAAAGACAAGAAAAACCACACAAAAUUGAAGUUUUAGGUUUUUGUGUGUUUGUCUCAAUUAUUUCGGGUUUCGGGUUUUUAUCCUUUUAUUUUGAUAAAACCCUAAGUCACUUAUUAUUUCGGGUUUUUGUGUGUUUGCCUCAAUAAAGAGAAAUGAAGUUUUACAAUUUAACAAACAAUACUAGACACAUAACCAAACUACAAUUGUAACAAUUAAAUAUUGACAUCAACAAAUAAUAAUUGAAAUAGUCUGUAACUAGUAGGCUUGUAAUUGUAAUUAAUAAAUAGUAGUUUUCAUAUAAAAAAAUAAUCCAAAAAGAACAUAAAACAUAUAUGUUUUCCUAUAAAAAAAACUUUCAUUGCGUGGUCAGGGGCGGAACUAGGAUUAUUUGUUAGGGGGGGCCAAAAAAUAUAAUGUAUAUUUUUAAUUUAUUAUAUAUAAAAAGUAAAAAUAAAAUAAAAACUACUUGAUUUAGUUUUAUUUAAAGAACGUAUUACAAAAUAUAUAAUAAUCUUUGUUCCUAUUAAAUACAAACAUACAAAAUAUAUAAGAAGCAUUAACUAAAACGAAACAUUAUUUAUGUUUAAUAAACUUUGAAAUAAAAUAAUAAAUAAUAAUUCUUACAUAUUUAUUUUAAUUGUGCUCGUCGUUCUUUCAUCGAAUAGAAAUCAUCGAUUAUCAUAUCAAUUGGGAAUCUUUCAGCAAUUUCUUUUUCUAUAUAGACAAUCAAAUAAUUUGCAAGAAAAUCAUCCUCCAUCCGAUUGCGAAGUCUUGUUUUAACAAUCUUCAUCGCUGAGAAAGCUCUUUCAGUAGUUGCUGUCGAAACAGGAAGAGUCAAGAUAAGCCGAAUCAACCUGUCAAUGAGUGGAUAAAUUGUUGAUUUUUCUGUUUCAACCAAUCCUUGACAUAAAUCUGCAAUCGAUGACAUAUUCUUUAACUUUGUAUGAUUGGGUACAUCAACCUCAUAAUGUUGCAACUGAAAUCUCAAAUGAAUUUUUUCUUGGUCAGAAAAAUCUUCAGGAUAUAUAGAACUUGUCAACAAGCAAGCAUAUAUCUUCAACAUUGAAUAAUUUAUAGCAAUUUCUAGGAUCUAAAGUUGUGCUCAAUUUAAGAAGCUCGAUCGCCUGCUCAUUGAAUAUGUUAUUUAGCUCUUGUAAUUGCUGAUCAAUGAUAGCUGUAAAUAUAUCAACUCGGUAAUGAUGCUCAACUGUUACUGAUUUUGUUUUACGACGAGAUCGUCCCACACUAGAAAAACAAGUAUCCAUAUCAGGAACUUCAAUGUCUUGAUGCUUACAAAAUGAUGUCACUUCUUCUAAAAGAGUUUCCCAACCAUCGUCUCUUAACUUCUGAAUUAAAGUCUUUGUGCUAGUCACCAAAUGCAUAGCAUUUAAAAUGUCUUGAGAUUUUUGUUGCAAUGCUUGACAAAGCAUAUCAGUAAUUCCCAUAACAUUCUUCAUUAUAUGUAAGAAGAAUGCAAAAUCAAAUGACAUUAGCAACUUAAAUGAAAAGGCCGCAUCACCUCGUUGAGAAUAAGUAGAUCCAUCUAAAGCAAUGUUCUCAAGAACCAAGCAAGUUGCCCCAUACAUUUUUAUCAAACUGCAAAUUGAUUUGAAAUGCGAACUCCAUCUGCUAUCUCCAGGUCGUUGCAAACCACCUACUUGAUUAACUCCUUUACCCGUUUCAAUCUCACCAAUAUCAACUAGAUGCUCAAUUGUAGCUGCUUGAAAAGCCCGUAACUCAUCAUUACGCUUGCAAGAAGCACUAACAAUGUUAAUAAUAAAGAUCAAAUUCUGAAAGAAAGUGUGAACAUCAGAUAUUUCUCUAGCUGCAGCAAUAAGAGCCAAUUGUAACUGAUGAGCUAAGCAAUGUACAUAAUAUGCAUAAGGGCAAUCAUUAAUGAAUAAAGCUUGCAAACCAUUCCACUCUCCACGCAUAUUACUGGCACCAUCAUAUCCUUGACCCCUAAUAUUUUGAACAUCAAGAUUAUGAUGAGAUAAAACAAAGGAAAUCUCUUUCUUAAGAGUUGCAGCAGUUGUAUCUUUGACAUGAACUAUAUCCAAAAAUCGUUCUCGUAUAAAUCCACUUCUAUCAACAAACCUAAUAACAAGGGCCAUUUGCUCUCUUCUAGAUUCAUCUCGAGCUUCAUCAACAAUUAAACAAAAUCUUGCAUCACCAAUCUCAUGACGAAUUGAAGACUGAACAUUUCUAGCAAAGACAUGCAAAAUUUCUUUUUGAAUUUGAUGUGAGGUGUAUUUAGCAUUUUGUGGAGCAUUACCCAAAACAAGAGCACCUACUUGUUCAUUGUAUGAUGCUAAAAGUUCCAUCAUUUCAAGAAAAUUACCUCAGUUUUUUUAUUCUGGACGUUCAUCAUGCCCUCUAAAAGCACAUGCUUGAAAUGUGAGCCAACGAACAAUAUCAUUGUGUGAUCCUGGCUUUCCAGAUGGUUUACUUGAAAAUAAAUAGCAAGGGAAACAAAAUGCAGUAUUUUUCUCUGAAUAUUCAAGCCACGGAUAACUUUUGAACCAAUGAGACUGAAAUCGAUGAGGAUGUUUAUUACCAGUUAGCGGAUAUUCAGACAUCAAAGGUUGAUAUGGCCCCAAAUUAAUGUAUGCCCUUCGAAUUUCAUCUUGUUGAUUAACCGGGUAUUCCUAAAUUUGAGGACGAUUGCUUGGAUCUCUAAUUAAAUGAGCAAUAUCGAUUCUAGUAAGAGGUUGCUCACUAAUCAGCGCAGAUUCUUUGUAAACUGAAGCACAUAGAGGCUGCUCAACCAUAACUUCAACAUUACUUGGAGCUGGUUCACUAAGCUGUGAGUUAUCAAUAUUUUUCCUCUUUUUUUCAAAAAAAGAAUCAAUUCUUCUUAUUUUGUUCAUGGUUCAACCUAAAAUCAAAACAUAUAUAGUGAGAAAAAUUUGAUAAUUUUGGUGGCUCUGCUAAAAACAAAACAUAAAAAAAUCCAUGCAUAAUCAAAACAAACCAAUAAAAUAUAUCUAAUUAAUUAGGGAAAAAAAUCACUAUAAAAAGAAUUCAAAAAAACAAUUAUUAGAACUAGCAAGUUUGAAAAAAAAAACCAAAAUUAUAAAAACAAAUCUUAUUAAAUUCUUAAUAAAUAUCUCAAAACAAAAUAAAAAUAUAUUUUAAAUUUGAGUUAUCGAUAUCCAAUUACGUACCUUGUUUUGUUUACUAAGAGAUAAAUCAAACAGUACUCUGCUCCAAUUUUUCCAUAUAAAAAUUCUAUUUAAAAUCUUUAUUUUUUGCUUUUGUUUUGAGUGGCUACGUUGGACAAUUUAUAUUAGGGUUAUAUUGUAGCAUAGGGAGGGAAAAGACAAAAAACACAUUCACGGAUUCACCCUUUAUAUUUAUUUUUCAUUCCCUGGAGGCUAGAGUAAGAAACCCAACCUUUUUCAUCAUACUAGUAAAAUCAGCAUAUUGCUUUCCACGUAGGCCGUAGGCAUGCUUUUUUUAUCACAGUCCAUUAAUCACAGCCCAUUCUUUUCAGCCUUUCUUAAAAAAAAAAAAAAAAAAAGUAAAAGUCUUGCAGGGGCCCGGGCCCCUGCUUGCCCCCCCUUCACUCCGCCCCUGUGCGUGGUUGUACUUAGAUCGAGAAUAACUCCAUGCAUUUUCUUAGAUAGUUUCAUUUAUUUAUGAAUAAGAGUAUUCAUUGGGUUAAAAUUAUCCAGGUGGAAUUCUUUUAAUAUUUUAUCUAAAUAUUUGAUCUCGAUAAAGAGUUCUACAUUUUUUAUCUCGAUUAAUUUAGAUACCUAAUGCAUAUGAUGCUUCACCUAAGUCUUUCAUCUUAAAAUGGAAUUUCAAAAAUUAUUUCAAUUUAUUAAUAUAUGCAACAUCAUUACCAACAAUCAAAAUAUCAUCAAUAUAUAUAUAAAGAUAAAAAUAAAAAAAAUAUAUCCAUACUAUUCCAAUGAUAAACACAAUGAUCAAAUUGAUUAGCUAUAAAACCAUAUUUAAUAAUAGCAUUAUGGAAAGUAUAGUAACAUUUCCUUAAAGAUUACUUGAGACUAUACAGAGAAUUUUUAAGCUUGCAUAUCUUAUUUUCUUUACUUUUAUUUUUGAAAUUUUAGGUUGUUAUCUAUAUAUGAAAUAAUUCUAAGUCUAACAUGACAAUAAUAAACAUUAGAUUUCUUAUCAAAUGAAUUUAACAAUUGGUGAAUAUGUCUUUUCAUAAUUUAUAAUGGGUGUUUUUCUGUAAAAUAUUUAGCAACUAAUUUUGCUUUAUAUUUACCAAUUAACCCAUCAUAUUUAAUUUUGUUCCUCUAAAAAUCUUGCAUCUCUACUUUCAACUUUUUAAAUUUUUACAGUAUCCAAUAAAAUUGCCCUUAAUGGUCUUACUAUCUAAUUUAUUUCUUAUAUAUGGUGGGAUGAGUAUAUGAGCAAAAUAUCACCAAACUCUUAAAAUUAUUUUAGUUUGGUUUUUUUCCAAUCCACAAUACAUAUAUAGUUCUAUUAUAAAUUUUAGUAGGAACCAAAUUUAACAAAUAUCGAGUAGUAAUUAUGGCUUUACCUAAAUAAUAUAAACUAAAAAAAGAAUGACAUAAAACAUAUUUUAUUAUAUCAAGUAGAGUUAUAUUGCACAUUUCAACAACAUUGUUUUGUUGUAGAGAACAAGACAUGAAAAAAUGAUGAAUAAUACCAUGUUGUUUUAAAAAAUUAUCAAACAAAUCAGACAUGUAUUCUCCACCAUAAUCAGAUAUAAUAAUUUUUAUAAUCCUUCCUAAUUGAUUUUCAACUUCAUUUUAUAAACUUGAGACUUUUUCAAAACAUCAAUUUUUUUACGCAUCAAAUAUAUAUAAUUAUAAUGAGAGAAGUCAUCAAUAAAGGUGACAAAAUAUUCCAAACAUUUAUGGGUUUUAACUUUCAAAGAACCGUAUACAUCAAAGUGAACAAUAACUAAACGUUUACUAGAUUUUAAUCUAUUAGAAAAAGAUUGUAUUGUCAUUUUUACCAAAAUGCAUGGCUCACAAGCAUUAAAUUGCACGUUGAUGUUAGGAAUUAAACCUAUAUUUACCAUUCUUUUCAAUUUUUUUCCUUAUUAAUAUGUCCUAACCUUAAAUACCAUAUAUAAGAAUCAUCAAUAUAUAAACAAUUAUAUUUUUCAAAUUAAGAUUAAAUGGGUAAUUGAAAAAAUUUUAAUACCCUCAUUUACUGAUAUAUCAAGUGGUUUUUUCUAGAAUGAUUUGAAUUUUCUAAUUUCAAAUUUUCUCUUCAUUUAAAACUCAUUUAAUUCUUGUUCUUUUAUAUCUUGACAUGAUUUUGGUCUUGGAUCGCACUCAAUUUUUUCAAUCCCUGAUGUUUGACUUUCAGUGUUUCUUCUUUGAGCUCUAAAAAUCUCUUUUCUAUAUUCUAAACCAAUAUAACUUACUUAUGAUUCUUUUUUAUCUUUUUUUUAAUUCUAUUGUUACUUGUCUAUCGAGUAACUUAGUCACCUUUGAAUGAUAAUUUGGUCUACUACAUCUCCAUAAUUUUCUUCUUUUGUGUGUCUAUUUAUUGAGAGAGACUUUCUUCUUCCUUAGAGGUUCUGUUUUUUGAAGAAUUAAUUAUUUACUUCCUUCUUCAACAUAUAUCUCUACCAAUUCUUCAUUUUGUUCUAGGUUUUUUUUGGUACUUUUUGUUUUUUUCAAUGCUAUAGUUUUAAAGAAACAAAUAUAACAUUGUUACCAAUUAUUUUAGGUUCUUUUUAUGCGUGCCUCAAUUAAAAGGACUCUGAAUUUUAAAUUUGAGCACUAAGACUUCAUCAUUCAAUAAAGUUUUACAUUUUAACCAACAAUUCCAAACUUACAAUCAAACUAAAAUUGUAACACUUAAAUAUUGUCAAUAAAAGAUAACCUAAAUUCAAGAACAAAUAAGUUUAUUAGAAAUAAAAACAAUUUACAAUCAUAGACAUUUUCUUGUUAUGAUUACAACCAUGUGAUGAAAGUUCUUGAUAGGAAAAUAUAUAUAUAUAUAUAUAUAUAUAUAUAUAUAUAUUUAUUGCUUUUUGUUUUAUUUGAAAACUAUUGCUUAUUGAUUACAAGCUUGUGGUUACCAACCUACUAAUUGUAUACCUGCAUGAUAGAUAAAUUUUAAAGACCUUGUGAAUUUGGUUGAAUUGCAUAGAAAUUAUUAUUGUUUUAAUGAUUUUUUUGUCCCCUAAUAUCUUUAUUUAAAUAGAUAAUUUAAAGUUAAUUGCUAGUAGUUAUUAUUUUAAUCUAUGCAAUUCCUUGUUUUAUGAAUCCUUGAGCAUCUAUAUAGCCUUCCUUUAGCCUUCUAAUUACUUAUGUUGACUAACUCAUUCAUUGUUUUAUAUAAUCUUGCAGCCAAUAGACUUCUUCUAGCAAUCAAUUGUAUGAUUUUUUUUUCAUGUUCUAAAUUUCAUCUUUUUUGGAUUAAUUUUGUAUAUAAUACUCAUCUACUAAUAUGAAACAAUUUCUUUCCUUUCAUUUAAAUUAACUUUGUUUUCAUGAAAGACAAAUAAAAACUAUCAAGAACAAGUAUAGUAAAUAGUCCCCGUACCUUGAUUAUCCACUAAGGAAAAUAAACAAGAAAAAGUAACGAUUUAAAGAAAAGUAAAAACAAAAAAUAAUAUUAAAAUCUUGAGUUUUUCCUAGAUAAUGAUUUGAAGGUGAAGGGAGCUUUGUUUGGUCGAGUAGGGACGACUUUCGACUUGGUGCCUCGUAGUUGGUCUCACACGUUUUCACCUUGUCCACGUUUUCACCUUCAUCGUUGCCUUCUUGAACACUGCACCGUACGUAUAAUUUAAUGAGCACGGGAAUUGCUUGUGUACUUUUAUGUUACGUGAAUCCUCUCAAGUCACCAUAGUUUGAUACAUUUGCAACAUGGAAUAUUAAUAAACAGUUGAUUAAGAAUGAGUCAACCAGUAGUUAAAAUCAGACUCGGAGAGAAUUAAUUUAGUUGAGAAUAACGUGCCCAUUGGCCUAUGAAAUUGAUCUCACACUUCUUAGCAAGGAUACAUGCACAUUAUAAUAUUACUUGCCAAUUAAAUAGUAGGUAGCACUCACAGAUUCUGCAUUUUAUUUUCCACGUAAUUGUUAGAAACACAAACUGAAUUUGUCAAAGAUAACCACUAGUCUUUGUUUCAGAAUAAAAACGAACCUUGCACAAGGGUGCAUGUCUUGCUUAUUUUGUCAAACUCUCAACGAAUCAUAUGUCCUCUUCCUCUCUUUUGAUUAAUGUAGGUGAUGAUGUUUCAAAGAAUUCAAGUUGUUUGGGUGCAAUUUUUAUGUCUUAAAUAAUCAUUUAAUCUCUUAAUUAUGAAGAUUUAAUCUAUUUUUCUUAACUAAUAUGAUUUGUGUUUGAUACUUGCAAAAUAUUUCUUUUGAUGAAUUUGAAAACUUUCGAAUGCUUAAGUCAGUGUUUUUUAGAUAUAAAAUACAAUAAUAUUUUAGAGAAAAAUUCUGAAUAUAAAUAUAUAGUAGAGAAUAAAGAUUGAAAACUUGUUUCUCUAAAAGGAUUUGAUGAAUUUUUAUAGCCCCUUGUUCUUACCAUUUGAUGAAGAGGAGGAAUAUAAAGUCAUCUUCCUCUCAUGAAGUUAAAAACCCUUUGUGUAAAAGAGAGAAAAUAUCUCUGAUUCAUUAGAGAAAAAAUAUCUCUAGCUAAAAAAGAAGUUUGACAAGAUUUUUAAAAUCACAUGUAUUUGGGCUCUGUGCUUAGCUGAAUCCAAGGGUAAUGGGUGUGUCAGCUUGCCAAAUCAAUUUAAUUCGGGCUAAUUCCCUCACGAUUUAGUUUGAAGCUCAAGUCAGACAAAUAGCUAAGUCGCGAGGUCUCAAGAUUGAUUCAUUAAACCAGGUUUAAUAAUACAGUUAAAAAAAUCCUUUACACUCUUAAUAUUUUUUUGACAUUUAAAAUUUUUAUCUAGCCCGCAGCGGAACGUAGGCUAACAAACUACUAAGAAUUAAUUGAGGAGGAGAAAUUUUUCUAUUUUUCUUUUUUGUUAUAUUUUUUUUAUUAUCAUCUUUCAACAUUAAAUUUAUUAAAAAUUAAAAUUAAAAAUUUAUUUUGGUUUUUUUACACGGAUUAUUUAUUAUGGUCAAGAAAAACAUUCCCCUAAAUAUUUCAAUUCACCAUGACAGUUGCUUUUAAAAAGGUGGCUUAGGCAUUCUGAAUCGAAUCUAGAUGACCAUAAUUUUCUAAAAAGAAGUUAUAACUGCAACGAAAAAGACAUUAAUCAUAUUAUAUGAUUAAUUAGUUCACGGUUUAAUUUCUUGUAUUAGAAAUUUCAUGCAUAAUCAUUAAAUCUGAUUAAUUCGAUUUUCCAUCUGAAUUUAAUUAGAUUAAUUCUUUGAUAUUAAAAGAAAUAAUCAAAAUAACAACUUUUUUAUACUUCAUUAUUAUUAUUUUUUAAAAUAACCCGAUGGGUUUGAUAACUAUGAUUUCGUGUGAAUAUUGAUUUUUCUCGGUAGAAUGUGUUGAACUUUGUAACACAGGACGUGGUUUUGGCAGGCCCAUGUUAAUUUCCCAUGCAAGUACAAUAUAUAAUUUUUCUUCAACCUCUUUAAUUUGCUGGAUUUUUCUUUUAUUUUAUCUAGACCGUGCCAUAAUAGAAUAUGGAUAGAACUAAAGAAAGGGACCCAGAGGCAAAUUUUAUAGAGAUUUUGUUACGUUGAUCUUAUCAUCUAAAAGUUCCUAACACGACAAACAUUCCUCUCAUGCAACAAAAUAUAAAAAAAAAAUAGAGAAGCAUUUCAUAUAUAUUCCAUUUAAUUACGUAAUGAUGAAUUUCAAAAUUUAAAAUGCUUAAGAUUAAAGUUGAUAUAUUAGAUAAUCAAUUAAUAUUUUACUUCAAAUAAUAUAAUUUUUUUUUAUUAAAAUAUCUGGUGGUUUGAUAUGUAAAGCUCAGGUGAGUGAUAGUUGGUGGUGCCUAGUAAGUAAAGAUAGCUGGUACAUGUAAAAAACCUUAUUUGAUGGAUUUGAGGACUCUUAUAUACUUAAGUUAUCAACUUUAUAGAGAGAAAAAAUAUGAUGAUAUUUUAGAGAGAUAGACUUUAAAACUAUAUAUAUUGAAAGUGUUGAGAAUGAAGAGAUUAUAAAUCUUGAGUUUGAAGGAUUCAAGAUGCAUUUAUCCCAUAAAUACCUUGUCAUUUUAUGGAGAGAAGGAUCUGAAAUGUAAUUUUAUCCUUGUGGUAUUUUGAACUAUAUUUUAUUUAAAAUAAUACAUGUUAAAUCAAUAUAAAAAACCAAAAAACCCGCGUGGGGUAUUGAAAAAAACUCUCAAAAGAGUGUAAGGCUUGGACAAGAUUUUUAAACCUAUUAAGAUGAAAAAAUGAGUCUUAGUGUAUUACCUGGAUCUAAGCACAUUGAGCUCGGAUAUGGUAACCAAGCCUACAAUAAAGCCGGGAGUGUAAUUUGCAGCACCACCAAAAGUGCUAGGCAACAGAUGAGGGUGUGGGAUGCAUGCACAACACUAACUAUAUCCAAUACUAGCUGGGCAUGUCACACCUAGCAUCUAGGAGGCAGUAUGCCUUUGAUUUUAGAAAAAAAUUAUCUAUAAUUGAGUUUGAUUGACAUAUUUACCCAAAAGUUCUUAUUAUAUCGUAGUAAUUGUAUAACAAUUUGGUAAUUAUUGAAGCACAACGAUAGGUUAGUAGAAAUUUUAACUACUGAUUUAGUUAGAGUUACAUCUAUAAUUAAAUGUUGCUGAAAUGACAAAUUUUAAUUAGAAACAUCGUGGCCCCAAUAUUGAAACAUGACAGCUAAUUAUUUAUAGAAAUUCAAGGAGGUACACAUGAAAUAUGUGAUGGCCACCAUGUCAUGAUGGGGACUAAAAGAUCUCUGUGGUCCUAUAUAAACUUCAAAUUGAUUUUUUCAAACUGUAUUUUAAGUUUCUCCAACAUAAAAAUAAUUAAAAAAUAACAAAUAUCAUCAAUCUUUUCCUUGUCAUUUCAUGGCAUGAUGUUUCCUUUUCUUUUUGUUUUGCAAGGACUGGAUCCAACUGGAUGGUGUUCAAUGAAAUCGAUGCCCACGUAUUCUAAACACUAAUUUUGAUUAAGAGUUUAAUUUGUUUGAAGCUGGCUCUUUUAUACGUACUAGAAAAUGAUGGGAAGGCAACGAAAGAUCUAAAAGUCUUCGUAUCGUGAAUCCAUGUCUGUAAAAACGUGACUCACAUGCAGCCAUGGCUAUGGAAAUUAAAAAUCCCCCCAAAAUAUGACAGGUAUUUUUUUUUUAAUAUAAAAGUUAUUGGAUCUUUCAAAUGGGUUAAUUUGUUUUUGGCUACCGGUUGGCUGAUCUUGUUUAUGUUUUAACCGAUUUGAAAGAUCAGUCUAAACCUAGGUUAAUACUACAAACAAGCAAAUUCGCAUCAAUCUCUUAAAUCUGGGUUAAUAUUAUAAAUUCGCAACCCAUAAAAUUCUAAUCAUAGUUCAAUCAAGAAGCUUAAUUUUUUAAAAAUUAAAUGUUGAAAUAUAAAAUUAAAAAAAAUAUCAAUUUAAAAAAUUUAUCUAAAAAAAAAAUUUUAAACAAUCAAAAGAAUAAUAAUUAAAUUUGGUAUGAAAAAAAUAAAGGGGGAUGAAGUUGCAAAAAAAAAAAUCAACUUUAAAAAUUAUCCUAAGUAAAAAAAUAACAAUUAAAAGAAUGAUAAUCAAAUUUGAAUAUUGAAAAAAUUGAAGAGGGAUGAAAUUGAAAAUAAAUUUUAAUUGCACAAAUCAUUUAAAAUAAAACAAAUAAUAAUAAAAAGAGACUAAAUAAGAGGAAAAUCCAAUUAAAGGGUUGAUUUGAAAAAUUAGAGGGAAUAACAAAAAAUUAAGGUGAAGGGAAAAGAAAAUGGAAAAAAAAGAAGAAGUUGUUCAACACCAAACUAAAGCCCUCUAGUAAUACAUGCCACCUCUUAUAGAAGGGGAUGUUGCAACGAAUCAAAUAUUGUCUUGAAAUAUAGUGUUUGGUGAUGUUACAACAGCUCAUGUAUUGCUCAUAUGCUGGCGCGUGUAGCAUGGAAUAAUUAUUUUUUAAUAUAAAAACUUAUAUUUGUCAAAGUACUAAAUUUUCCUUGAUCAAUAUGAUAAUAAUUAAAAAAACGAUAUGGAAAAGAUGGAAAAGUCCCAGAAAACUAAACUUAUAUUUUUUGUUUUCGGGGGCAAUAAGGUUAAUUUUGGUGUUGAUUUGAUAUAAUCUUUAAAAUGGUUAUUUCAUAUAAUUUACAUAGAUUUCAAAUUAAAUUGUGUUGGUGUUGGUAAUGAUUCGAUCUUUUUAUUCAAAACCAGAUUUAACUAAAAAAAUACUUCAAGGUGUUUUCAUUUUAAUUUUUUAAAAAUAUCUUUUAAGAUAACAAUUUUUUUUUAUUGAUCAAUAUUAACAUGUAAAACCUUUAUAUCUAAGGUUUCCUUUUCUUCUUUUACCUAAAAAGGAAGAAGAAGAGGGAUCGAGGAUCUCAAAAAUCAAGAAACUAAUGACAAAAAAGGGGGGUGUAAACAUUACUAAGAGAGCAUAAAUUAUAGUUCAAAAGGUCUUUUUGUUACCAAUUUAGCCAGAUGUACUUAGCACCACAAAGAAGAACAUUCCAUGAAUUACAAUUCAAAAAUAUUCCUUUAAUUAGUUACCAGUUUAGCAAAAUGUGCUCAACAAUUAACACAAAAAUAAAGAGCAACAACAUGUCCUUUACAAAUUAAAUUAUCUAAGUUCUUGAUGUUUCAAUCUAUAGACAUAGAAGACAAAAUAACCUAUACAUCAAACAAUUUUUAUGUUUUCUUAAAAUCAAAUAAGAAAGAAAAGGAGACUUGCUUGGGAGAGGAAAGAAGACAGUUGCGGGACAGAGCAAGGGGAGAAGAGAACUAAGAUCGGAGAGGUGGAAACUAUAAAGGCAGGGGGUGAUGAGUUGAGGUGGAGGAGAUUGACAAAUAUUAGGUCAUGGGAAUAUGGGAUAAACUGGGAACUGAGAAACAGGUAUGUGUCUAUACCUGUGAGAGUAUUUUUAAUUUUAGAGUGGACUUACAAUUAUCUAUUUAUACCCCUUUUAACUUAAUAAUAUCUUUAAUUUUUUAGGUCAUCUUUCAAUUGAUUUUAAACUCGAGUUUUUGAAACUAAAACUAAAAUGGAUUGAUUUUUUUCCAGUUUUUUUUUAAAUUUUUUUUGUUUUCCCAGUUUAAUUAUUUUUUAAGCUUUUCUUUUGCUCACUCCUAACGACAUCUGCCAACUCCAUCUUUAACUAAUUGAAUGCCUCAGCUGGAAGUGGGAUAUCAAGCAUGUGAAGGAUAAAAAAUGGAUUUAGCUCAUUUUAGUAAUUUUCUAAUUUAUGGCUUUCAUUUUUUGUUUAAAAACAGGUUGUGAUAAGGGUAUUAAUACAAUGAGAAUUAGAGUUUAAAUCAAGAGAUUUUUUGGUUAUUUCAUUUAGAUUAUAUUAUACAUCAGUACUUCGCAAACAUCCACGCAUUUCCUAUGGGCUUGCUUGAGAUUGAAAAGGAGAAGGAAGAAUAAAAAGUUAGCCAUGAGAUUUCAUGUUUAGAAAGAUGAGAGCUUUAGUUUAGAUAGAUUUGUAGGCAACAAAGAAGAAAGCUUGAUGGCCAAUGAGUUCUUGAAAUCAUAAUUUUAAGAUCCGAUCCAGUUCAAGGUUCGAGUUUCGGGUUUUGCCCGGGUCACUGGGUCUUAUUUUUUUUUAAAAAAAACUUAAAACGAUAUCGUUUUAAUAAAAAAAAUAAAAAAAAAAUAAAAAUCAACGGGUUUGCAGCCGAGUCUUGUCGGGUCAACCGAGUCGCCAGGUCAAUUGGGUCACAACGAGUUUUUUCUUCCCUUGUUUUUCCUUCAACUCGUUCCGGUUUUGGCCUCGGAUCGGCCGGGUCCUGGGUUGACCCACCGGGCCGUGUUUUAAAACUAUACUUGAAAUAGUAGCAAAGAAUUUUAUUUGUAUGCAAUCCAUAAAGGGGGAAAGGGAGAAGAAUAUUGUUAAUUAAAACAUGAUAAAGUCAUCCAUGGUUUGAAAAUUCAUGGAGCACCUCUUGUCUAGGGUUUUUUAAAAUGUUCAAUAAUAAAAAGAAGAGUACUGCAAAGUUAUAUUUUUCUCAUAAUUUUAAAAUAAGCUCUGUAUUGAGGACGAAAAAAGCUUCAAAUUCCCUGGUGUAGAGAGAAAUUGGUUAAGAGGAGCAGAUAGAAGCUGCCCCCAGUGGUUUUCAAAAGGGUGCUUUAAUAUAUAGAAAGGAAUUGUUGUGUUUGGGUUACCAGAUUUCCGAGAGAAGAAAUGGAUAAGUGGUGGCUAGAGUACUUGUUUACUCUAUUAGAAAAAUUAUAAUAUUUAAUAUAAGAGUUUUUUACUCAUUAAUUGGAAUAGAAUAACAAUCUUGUAAAUAUUUCAAACUUUUUUGUUGACUUGGUUUUUUUACACAUAAAAUUAAAAGAAGUAAAUGUUAUCAACUUAUAAACAACUACGAAAAGUAAACUGUAAUUUUUCAACUACAGAAGAGUCAUAAUAAUUAAAAAUAAUAUACUAAAAAGAGUGGAGUUUUUACGCACUAUUCAUUUCAAUAAAAUUUUCAAUUUAUGUUUUUUAUUUAUUUUAAUUUUAUACUUAAAGGAUUGUACUUUAUGACUUGUCUUUUAUAACCUAAGACUUAUAACUCGGGUCAUGAAUUUGAUGAAUUAACCUGGUCAACUUGAAUUUAUUUUUUUCUUUUUUUUAAUUAAUAUUUUUUUAAUUUUAUCAUUUAAUAUUUUUAUUUGUUGGGAAUAAAGUUUCAUGUUUUGUUUUGGUUUUAUUUUUACAAGGUUAUUCUGAUUUUAUAACCCUAGUCACAAAUUCAAAGAAUUAAUUUUGGUUAACUCGAGUUAUUUUUUAAUUUUUUUUAAAUUAUUUUAUUUUUAUUUUUAUCCUUAGUAUCUUAUUAUUUGAUAAUUAAACUCCGUAAUUUAUUUUAUUUUUUAUGAGUUAUCCUUCAGUAUCAUAUUUUACAUUUUACACCAUAUGAUGUCAUGACCUUCAUCUCGAUUAGCUAAUGAACAAUUAAGUAAAAUUGUGAAUUGAAUAUGAUGGAUCACUACUACUCUUUAGCUCAACCUCUACCAAGAUACAUGCCCUCGAGCCCAUGCUAGGCGUGUGCUCGGCUCGGGCAUGGAAGUGACAAUAGGCUUCCAUAAAGCUGGACUUGAGCAGUGGGAUUAGACAGCAUUAAUUAAGGCAGGCAGCAGUUACAUUCGAUAUAAUGCAUGGUAGGUACUUAUUGUUUCCCAGAGAAAGCAUGAGUGUGUGUAGAAGCAUUUAUUUGACCUCCAUUCCAUUUAUUAUCUGAUUGUGACCAUAUCAUUAACUUUGAAAGGCAGCACAAGUGAUUCAUGAUCUUUUUAUAUAUAUUAAAAAGAAAAAAAAUUUCAACCCUAUUAACCCAUUAAGCUCGUAAUCCAAAUAAUUUAACCAAAAACAACUACUUAAAAAAACAUUAAAAUCUAAUUCUCAACAAACCAUUAAAGGAUAAAUUAAAAAAAACAAAACAUAAGAUAUAAAAAGAUAAAAUAAAUAGCAAUUAUAAACAAAAAUAAAACCCGAAUCUAUUUGGAUCAAACUGUCAAAUAUACAGAUCAAGUUAUGAAAUUAGAAUAACUCAACAAAAAAAUACAAUAAAUAAAAAUAUCCAAAAUAACAUAUAACAUAGUCAUUUUCAAUAUCAACCAAAAAAAAUUCCACAAAAACAAGUUAUAAAACAUAACCCAAAACCCUAAUACAAAAGUCAAACCUAGCUCUUUAUAUCUUUCCUCUCUUACAAGUUACUCACUUCUCACAUAUAAACCCACUUGUUUUGUUUUCACCUUUGGACGAUUACAGCAAUGGAGGGAGCCUCCUAUUUAAAGGGACAAAAUGAAGUUUGGUGCCAUUAUGAGUGUUGGGUGGAGGUUUGAAGUUAGAAUAUUGACUAGUGGCUGGAGGAUAUGAAAGUUGAUGGUCGGAGGUUGGCAUAACAUGGAGAAAGAGGAAGACGGAAAAUCUAGACAAAUCUGCCACAAACCUCUAAGAUUUUUCCAUCCACUCCUAGUAAUCACUCAACGUUACCUUCGUUGCGCCACAUGAUGCCAUAUACCAUGAUGCAUGGUGCUUAACACUGAGAGAUGUUAACCAAAUCCAAACAGUAUUGAAACUUGAUUUUUAAAAUGACUUUUCUCAUCAUGUCAGAAGAAAUGUAUGUAGUGAUCGACAAUCUUUUGUAGUAGAAUAUCCCCUUCAUCUAUAAUUUCUUAGAGAAAAUAAAAUCGAACAUCAAUGUGUUUGGUAUGUGUUUGGUGUGGGAAUGAUGAAAUUCGACAAAUCUAGACAAAUCUGCUACAGCUUUCAUGGUUACUCAUCAUUUCUUCAGGUAGCAUGUCUUCCGCUAGUAUUUGAAAAUACACAUCACACUUAGGCAUCUGAUCGUUGAUGCAUUUUCUAGGCUAGGAAGAGGAGGGCUGGGAGAUGACACAAGUUCUUGGAGUAAUUUUUGAAGGAGUUCGAUGCAGAAUGGGAUGAGCAACCUUGAAGAGGUUAAAUUUAAAGUCUUACAGUUUUAUCUUAUUGAAAAAACCAGGAUACCUUCUUCUCUGCAAUUUUCUUUUUGUGCAGCGGCUUCCAGGAGGCCAAAACUGCCGCUGAAUCAGGGAGAUGUACCGGUGCAUUAUAAACGUAUUACCGAGGGUUUUCCAGUGAAAGAUCACAACAAAUGAAUGAGUACUUUGUUUUAGCAAUGGAGGUGAUGAGGCAUGCAUAUAUUCAUCCCGUUCCAGAACAAAGUGAUCUGUAUAGACAAAUGAAGGUGAUGGUUAACCAACUCACCAUCUUCUUUACGCAAGAGUUGAAUAGUUGUCUGUCGUUCUGUAUAGAAAUUGAUUCCCAUGGCUUGUUAGAUGCUGGGCAUGUCCCCAGAUUCUUGGGUUUUUUUGUUUCAUCAGGAGCCAUUGUUGGGCCUAAAGUACUAACCUAAACUUCCAUGUUUAAGUUAUUAUUCAUCAGAUGCUGUGCUUGUACUGCUCUGAAAGUGCAUGCCCCUCCUUUCCCCAAAACUUGGAGCAAAGUUCUCUUCUUUAUCCCAAGGCAGUAAGGCUUAGGGCUUAAUAAGGAAGAGUUGAAAAUGUCAGUUGCAUCGCAGUAAGCACUGAAAGCUUAGGGAUGCAACUGCAGGCCAAAAAAGUACCCUUAGAUUCCAUAUGGUAAACAACUCUUACCUUGUCAUAUUAUGAUCACUCUGCUCUGUUUAAGUUGUAAAUUAACUACUCUGUCCAACAUUCUUUAUUCUGAAACUUGAAAAAGUAAAAGAAUGCAACUCUAACCUGUUAACAUUGUAAUGUUUUGGUCUUCUAGUGAAGAAGGCCUAAGAGAUUAAAUAUAUUUGAUCCAAAUUAAACCAUGGAAACACACAAAAUAUACACACGUACAUCCAUAAUAUGUGACAAGAAAUUACUAAUCGACUUGUAAUUUAUUAUUCGAAUACAUCAACAAUAACACAACACAACACAAUUUUUCAGAUUAAGGAUUGUAUCAAGAACAAUCCAAAUCCAAAUCCAUUAUUGAUCAAGUGUAGUUUCCUAAACUAAAAAUGCUCCAUCUUUUCCUUCUACACUUUCUCAAAACUCAACAAGUCAUAUAAAUUUUGCAGAUAACAGUAGUAUGUUUUUACAUAAACAAUGGAAGAACAUAUCAUUACUAAUAAUAUAUUUAUAAGCAUCUGUUCUUGUUGUGACAAUAUUACUACUUGAUAUUAAGAUAUUCUUGAAGCAUAGACUCCUCACGCUUGACUAGAUUUACCUUCAACCCGUGCUUCAUGUACAGUGUCAAAGCAAGCUUGGGCACAACAGGAUGAUCUUUCACUACCUUCACAUGGUAAUGAAAUAAGAUUGAUGCCACAGUAAACUUCAUUUGAUAGUAAGCAAAGUCUUUCCCUAAGCAUAGUCGAGGACCGCCAUUGAAAGCAGUGAAUUUGUAGGCUGAUUCACUCAUGAAUCGUCCGUCGACCACUCUUAUCCAUCUCUCUGGCUUAAACUCCCUACAGUCACUUCCCCAUAUUGCCUCCAUCCUUCCCAUUGCAUAUAUUGCAUAGAUCACUUUCGUGCCUUUCUCUAGUACAGUUCCAUCAGGAAAAAUGUCAUCCUCGACAACCUACAAGAUAUUGGAGCGUAAAUUGAAUCUGAAUGAGUGAUUGAUUACAAACUAGCAAAAGAAAAUGAAACAGUAUUUUGUCAUUCACCUUUUUCCUUGCCUCCUGGGGAAAAAAAAACUAGUAUACUUUGUUAACGGUUCAAGUAUUCUGGGGUUAGCAUUAAAUUUGUUCAGGUUGGGUUCAUAUCCUUAAUUUGUAAGUGGUGUGAGUAGAAGGGAUCCUCUUACCAAGAGGGUUGUAAGAAAAAAUGAUUCUCUUUUCAAGAAGACAACAACUCUGGGACCCUGGUUCAAUCUUCACCUAUUAAUUUCUAGGACCUCGAAAUUUUCCUUAUUUUAUGAGUUACUUAACUGGUAUUUCAUGCUCCCCAAACAAGGUUUAGCCACUUUACACAAACAUACUGUCAGGUCACCAAGGAAUUGACCAAGUAUUGUCGCACUUCAAGCAAGGAACCUGUCCAUUUCACACAAGCCAAGUUCUCGAAGAGAUAUGCUUGAGUUUAUGGUAUAUUACAUGAAGGUUUUUGAUUGGUUGAAUAUAAACCUACAUGCAUCAUCUCUAAGAAAUGUUAGCAUUCUAUAAGAUUGCAUGAGGAUAUGUUAAAUGAUAAAACAUGCAAGAAACAUGAAUUCCAAUUAAUCUAGAGAUAAAGGAAGAGAAUAAUCCUUAUCUUAACUGUAUAUGAUUAAAGGAAAAUAUGAGUACUGGGUAAAAGUAAGUUUGUUACUAAUUACCUCCUUGUGGUCCACUGGCACUGAAGGGUACAACCUCAAGGCCUCAGAUAAAGCAGCUUGCAAAUAGUUCAUCUUCUUUAUCUCCUGUGGACUAAACACUAAUGGAGUUGUGGUGUCCAACUCUUCUCUCUCGUUAACUAUCUUGCAAAUCUCAGCAAGAAUCUUCUCCUCUACCGUUGGAUGUGAAUCAAGAAGCCAAAAGAACCAACUCAUUGCCACUGAAGAAGUGUCUCUGCCAGCAAGAAUGAAGUUCACACAAAUAUCUCUCAAGAAUCUGUCUGAAAAUGGCUUUCCGUUCUCAUCUUUUAACCCCAUGAACACUGUUAAGAGAUCUGAUCCUUGCUUCUUCUUAUCAUCCUCACUCUGUAUAGAGAGUUCUUUCUUUCUUGUCCUUAUGACAUCUUCUGCAAAGUCAUCCACAUCUUUUAUUGAUCUUUUCAGCUUCUUUUCGGACCCCAAAUCAAGAUACCUCAUAGCUUUCCAUAUGCAUGUUGGUGUAACAAAACGUAGGAGAGUAGCUUCUGUUGCAUCUUCAAAGGCUCUAGCGAAUGGUAUGUCAGGCAAACCUGGACGCAAACAUCCUGGAUCAACCCCAAAUGCUAUCAUGCAAACAUUAUCAAAUGUUAACCUCAGUAGAACAUCCUGUAUGUCAAUCGACAUCGAGUUGUUCACUGCGUUUUCUAGAACUGGCAAGAGCCUAGAAUGGACAAGUUCAAGCAAUGACUCAGUAGUUAAUUGCCUGAAUUUUGUUGAAUGAAACUCAAUGCUUGCUGUCUUUCUUUGCCUUUGCCAUUUCUCAUCAUCAGCAUUGAAUAUUCCUCCACCGAGAAGAUCACCCACGGUGUCACGAAAAUAUUGGCCUUUAGGGUAAUUAGGGAACUUGGUCUUGAGAAGAUGCUCAAGAUUUCUUGGGUCCGCAGUCACUACACAAUUGAGGCUACUAAACCAUGGACCUUUGAACCUAAAAGUCCCAUUUUGAUCACAAAGCACGUCGGACAUCCAUUCAUACAUGUUGCAAUGAAGGCCAGACACCAAAGAUGGUAGCAUGCCUACAACAGGCCAUACGGGCAGUCCACGACGCCUUUUCUGCCUUAGAGAAUGAAUAGCGAUGAAGACCACAAGAGCAAGGAGGAGCUCUAAAACUUGAAUCUGUUGCAAGAAAAACAGUCGCGGGGAAAUGAAGUUUCCGGCAUUAUCACUGGACAAGGAGGAGGAAAGGGAGGUGAGGUUGUUGCUGUUGUUCUCCGGGCUGAUCAUGGUGUUGGGAUGAUGGAGAAUAAGACUAUUGUACAUAUGACAUGGUUGUCUAUAGUUAUAGCAGGAGGUCAUGUGUUAUAAGGGAGCAAUCUGUUUGUGUUUUCUUGGCGUGCUGUUCUUGGCUCAAUAGGUAUGAAUUGGUGAGCUGAAAAUGUGUGGGCUCUUGCUGCUUUUUUACGUGACUAAACUGAAGAAUUCUCCCACCUCUCACUGCAUUGGAUGGUUUUCGCCUUGUUGCUGUUCUUUUUAUUUUCUUGAAAUGGAAUAUUUUGGCCUCUAGCGAAUGGUGUCACAAAUAGGGUUGAAACUCUUACGAUCGAGGGAAGAAGAAUUUUCGGAGGCUAGGAAGUUGUUGGUGACCGAUAACCUAAACACGACUAUUUACUUUGUUUUUCCCAGCUCCACUAAAGCAAGUUACUUAUCACAAGAAAAAGAAAAGAAAAGGAAAAAGGGUUGAUGAGCACAUAGAUUUCGGUCACCAGCAGCCAUGUCCAUGUUUGUUGCCACACGUAGUUAGUCUAGACAACUUGAACCUGUGGAUUUUCUGGAUUUUGGUUUUAGAUUUUUUAAAUUUCAACUUGAAUAAGUUUGAAAAGGGUCUUCCAAAAUCAAAUCCAACCACUUAGUAAUUUCAAUUUAGGUCAUCUUCAAGACCUAAUUAAGAGCUACAACAUAGGUUUAUCUUGUUAUAUAAUAUCUCAAGGAUCCACUCCAACCACAUGGCUUAACAUAGUACCUAAUCUUUUUUAAAAAACAAAUCUAAAUAACGUACGUACCUAAUUGAAUAAGAGGCUGUUUGGCGCUGCGGUCCAAACAGCUUUUUGCCAAAUUUCAAAAUUUUUUUUUUUUUUUUUUGCUAAAAUUAAGUUUGGUUUGUACUUUCUGGAUCGUUUUGAUGUGCUGAUAUCAAAAAUGAUUUUUAAAAAGUGAAAAAAUAUUAUUGGCAUGCUUUUCGGCACAAAAAGCUAUUUGAAAAGCAAUAGAUACCACACUCCCAAACACCCUCUAAGCAGCUCAUGAUGUAUAAAAAAAAUAAAAAAUAAUUCCAUUAUCUUACCUUUUGAUAUUAAAACUGAGCAAGUAGGUGUACUAUUUAACUAUUAGGAAUGAGCUGGCUGGUACAAGAUUAGGAAUUCCAUAACUUAGAAUAAUUUGAUGAGAUCAAUUUAAGGUUUCCUUUGAACUUUUUAGACCAACAAGAAAAUCUACCUGUGUGACCAUGUCACCCUUUCAUCGGCCAGAAUAUACCUCUCAGGCUGGUCUGAGGCAAAACCAUGUCCCCAAUCUGACAUCUGAUAAUGCACAAGAGAGAGAACCUAUUUUCCUUAAGUAAUCAUAGGAUAUGGCUUGAAUGUGAGUAUUAUUCAAGCUAUGUAUGUUAUGGUGCACAAUUCUUUAAUACUAAUAAUAAAAAAUAUUAGUUAGAAAUUCUAAGCCAUCCUAGCCAUUCAUGGCUAGAAAUGUUAGUCAUUAAUGGCCAGGAAUGUAAAUGACAAAGCAUGGGACUUUUACAUAUCCCAUGCAUGACACAUAGUUACCACUAACACAAUAUCGUUUUGGGCCAAGGCCAAAUGGCUAUACAUUGCCAAAUCCAACUAGAUUUUAUCACCAAAACAAGAGAGGGAAAAAGAGAAAGAAAAGUGACCAGAUCUUGAUGGCAAAAAAAAAAAAGUUGUUGACACUAAUUUAUAUCAAAACUGUUGAUGUUUAUGUUAUAUGUUUUUAUUUGACAAAAAAAUAUUUAUAUUAGGUGUUUUGCGAACCUUUCAAGUUCACGAGAAAACAUAUUUGAACUUAAUUUGAUUUUUUUUAUUUCAAGUUGAUUUUUGUUUUUAGAACGAUAUUUUGAUUUUUUUAUGCCAUAGAUAGGUUUAUAAUAGUUCUAAAGGUGUUUUGGGUCAAAAUGAGUUGGAAAACUGAUUUUUUGGUAAAAAAAGAUUAAACUCUAAUUUUUCAGGUACUAUAAAUGACUAAAAUCUAGGCAAAUCAGAUAAUACAUAGUUUUUUUUUUAUAGAAAAAAUUAAGCGAAUAACAUGUUGUCAAUUCUAUUUGCAACCAAAAAAUGAUAGUCUAGUUGCAUAAGCAUGUCAGGUCAAUCCUGCAUAUGGACCUUGAUAAAAUGGGUAAGACCUAAGUAGCAUCUUACCUUUUGCUCUUUUUUUUUUCUUUCUAAUUAUUUUAAAAAUUAAUGCCUUUUUAUAUAUGGUUUUUAUUUUUAUUUUUUUUAUUUAUAUUUAGAUUAGUUCUUCUCUCUUUUAAUUUGUUUAGAAAACCUCUUUUAAAUAAAAAUAUUUUUUUUGGUUAUGCAUUUAAAUUUUGUUGAGUUUUUAUGAUUUAUCUAUAAUUUUUUAUUUUAAUAUUUUAUAUAGAUGAACUUUAUUUUUGAAAAUAAAAAAAAUUAUUUCCAGAUAAUAUUUAUAAUAUGUAUAGCCUUGAUGCUUUUCCUUUUCUUUUUUAUUCAAUCAAUUUAAUUUGUGUUUUUAUUUUAUUAUUAUUUGUUUGAAUAAAAAUAUCAUUUUAAUAAAUAAGUUUAGAAAACACAAGUAGAUAAACACAUGUUUUGUGAUAUUAAAUAUCUUAAUUCAUACAUGUCUCUCAAUUUUAUUUUUUUAGUUAUUAUUUAUAAUUUUUUACUUAUUUAUUUUAUUUUUUUAGUUAUUAUUUAUAAUUUUUUACUUAUUUAUUAAUAUAUUUAAUUCUCAAUUUUUUUUAUACAUAAUAUUUUUAAAAAUAUCAAAAAUUCAAAAUAUCUCUAAUUAAAAAACAAUUAAAUUUCUUUUUUUUUUUUUUUUAAUCAAGAUCAUGAACAUCAGUUCACUUCAUUAUUGUAGUAGAUAAUGAAAUAUGUAAAUGGCUAUAAGGAAAUCACCUUUACAAAACCCACAUAGGUUUUUCAAUCAACGAAGCACACGACAAUACCAGACAGCAAGUGUUACUCAGUUGCUGCAGCAGUUCUUCAAUGACUUCUCUUUUUCACAAAUUUCAAGAGGUAAUUACAUACAUCUCUCUAUUCUCCUCUUAAUUGGUGUAUAACUUAACCCAUUUCUCUUUGUUUGUAUGCAAAGUUGAUUUUUUUUAGGUAGAUUCAGGAUCAUGUUGGUUGAUGGUUGAUAAAGGUGGAAAUAAAUUUUGGAUUUUGAGUAAUCAAGACAUUUUAGAAGAACCCAUUUUGGAAAUGUAUAGAAGAAAUUACUUUAUGUUUUCUGUUUGUUUCUGGAAUAUUUUAGUGAUUGAAUGCAUUGUAGCAUCCAUGGAGUUUGAUUACAAAUAAUGGAAUUAAUUAUCUGUUAGAAUCUAAGUAGAGGAGUUUAUAAUUGACAUUUGUUGUUUCAAGUGAAGGAGAUAGAUGAUUGAAGUUGUUAGUGUUUUAGUUAGCAGAACUAAAAAUAAAGUUUCAUGGAAUUGCUCCAUGCAUUGUUUUGUGAAAGGUGUGGCUUCAUGGAUCAUUGUUGAUAAAAUGAUUAAAGGUUUUUCCGUUUUGGGUUUUAACUACAGGUUGUGAAAACUCUAGCCAAAAGUCCCACAGAUGCUACAAGUACAGGGGACCUUAAACGUCUCUUUAUUUUAACCAGGUUUGUGUUGUCUUUUUGUUUUCUAUGCUGUCAUUGGGUGUAUGUUGCUUCUCUUAGUGUACAUUUUGCAGGCUGGGUUCUUUCAAAAUAUUGUUGGAAUUAUAUUGGCUCCUGAAGUCUGUGCUAUAGACCAUCUGAUUUGCAAGAUUGUUUUUUCUUCUCUCUUUUUAAUCUAAAUCUCUGUUUUCAGCAAGUAAUAUUAUCAGAAAGUCGAAGUUCAGAAGUUCAAAUUUAGUGUUUUUUCUUGCUUUGAUCUUGCUCUCAAAUUUUGUAAUUGCUUUGAUCUUACUCUCAAAUUUGACAAUUGUUCGACUUUCUUUUCUUUGAAGUGCUGGAGAAAUAUUCUAAAACUUAAUUUUGAAACUUCUUUUUCGAGUACUUUGGUUCUUUUAUAUUGUAUUAAAUUGGUUCAUCUUCAAUGUAGCUUUAUCUCAACAUUAGAUCUGUAAUUGCUUGUUCUUUUGAGUAUCUUGAGUUGCUAAUGAGAGGUAAAGUUUUCAGCUGCAAUCGUUUGGGAAGGAAUGCUGAUAAGGCUGACGCAAAGGAUAUCAUUGAAAUGGCCAAUAAAUUUUAUGUUGCUGAACAGCAGAAACAGAUCCAAGAAAACAUCCAUUUUCAAAUUAAAAACUUCUGCACAGCUAUGAAUGAUAUUCUUCUUCCUGAUGCGAGAAAGAGAAGUACGAAGGAUGAAGCACCUGCACAAUCAAAUGCUUUUGCUGUUGGCAAGAGUGGUCCACCAACUGAUUGUCAUGGUGAGUUUAUGAGCUCAAUCCCACAUGUUAAUUUACUGAAAGUCGUCUCCAUAUUAAUUUAUAAAAUAAUACCCACCCUGAAACUUAAAUUGCCCAGCUGAUCUUACAUUGCACCUGUCACAUAUUUGCUCAUUUCUUGAUGUUGGCUUACCGUUGCUUCUUUUAUGCCUUUAUAAUAAUUUCUUUUCCAUAUUAAUGGUGUAGCUCUGAGAUAAUUUUGAUUAUAAAGUACCCAGUAUAUAUUAUUGACAAGUUAUAUAUUGCUCAAUAUCACUGGAACCAUACCCAAUGCCAUUUGGAGCUUUUAAUCCCUAAAAGAGUACAGUUACAUGAGACAGAAAGGACUGAAUUAACAGAUAGGGAUACAGUCAGAGGCACAAGCCCUUAUCUGUGACUAAACUUAUAUCCUUCAAUUUCGAUUAAUGAUGUUUUUUGGCACAGCUAUACCUGAGAUGAGGCGGUUGAGUCAUACUGAAGUAUCACAGAGUUUAAAGGAUCACAUUGGUUACACACUUGAUGUGAAGCCAUCUCUGAUGCCCCAUGAAAAAGAUGGACAAGGUUUGCUCAUAAACGGCGAGGCUGAUGCUGGCGCUGUUAUUGCCAUAUACCCUGGCAUCAUACACAGUCCUGCUUAUUACCAGUACAUCCCAGGGUACCCAAGAAUUCAUGCCCGGAACCCGUACUUGAUCACUAGACAUGAUGGGACAGUUAUCAAUGCACAACCUUGGGGUUUUGGUGGUGAAAUUCGUGAAGUGUGGGAUGGCUUCACAGUGCCAGAAAUCAUGCCUAAUGUGCAAAGUACCGGUAAAGAUGGUCCAGAGCUAGUCUGGAGGGUGUUGAGUAAGCCUUUGGAAGGUACUGGGGUUGGUUCUGUUGGUGAUGUCUUGGAGAGGAGAAACCCAUUAGCUUUGGCUCAUUUUGCCAACCAGGUAGCAGUGGGCGUGCAUCAAAAUGCUAUGGCUUGCCCUUAUGACUUCCCACUGACCGAGAUGGAUAUGAGGACCUAUAUACCAAAUGUAUCGUUUGCUAAUCCAGAAGUGAAUAUUAGAAGAUAUGGCAGUUUUUGGUUCAGUUCCAAAAGCAGUGAAUCCAAUGUUCCUGUUCUCAAGACUCUCGUACUCGUCGCUACUAGGGCACUCUGUGAUGAAGAAGUGCUCGUAGAUUACAGGUUGACAAACAUGAAGUGUUAGCCACUAUGGUGUACUCCUGUGAAUGACCGGAGGUGAUGGAGAACAUGAGUCUAUAUCGAAAAUGGGUUUCAAGAGAAGCUAGACUUUUCCUUAGCUUACCAGCAAGCUUCUGUGUUGAACCUCAUAAAAAAACUACAUUGUAGAAGCUUGACAUGUUAUGAUUAUACACUGAAAAUACAAAAUUGUUUCAGACAAUAUAUAUUAGUUAAGAGUUACAGAAUUACCUGCAGAGUUGGAGCCUCUGUGGCUCUUGAGCGUGUCCUUGUAGUGCCCCAAGUGGGAGAUCGCAUUCCAUCUUAUCAUCCUUCCAUCCAUAUAUCUCUAGAGACAAUUCCUUUGUGCUAAUAUGUCGAUAAUUAAUAAUCAUAUAGAAAAUGCUAGUGAGAUUUCGUAGCUCUUGCAAUUGGAACCACAAGCUGUGGGACAUUCUCAUGUCAAGCUCCAGUAAAGAACUCAUCUGUUCAUGUGAAGUCAUUUUAAAAGAGUCAAUGAGAUUGUAAAUGGAGAACUGCUGAGAGAAUUUGGUAAAUGCAGCAGUUUCAAUACUAGUCAUGUAAAAUAAUAUUAAUUUAAAAGCAAGUGUGCUUGCACAUUUAGAACCUGAUUGGGAGUUCAGUCGUUUUUGUUUUUGAAUACUUCUUUAAAAAAUAACUUAAAUUUUUUUAAAAAUAUUAAAUUAAUAUUUUUUUUAUAAUGUUUUAAAAUGAUUUUGAUUUGUUGGUGUUAAACAUAAAAAUAUAAAAAAUAUUUUAAUAUAUUUUUAAAUAAAAAAAUAUUUUUAAAAACACUUUAUAUUCUAGUAUCAAAGUCUUUUAAGUAGAGGACAAAAUAAUUAUAUUUUCUUGUCAACAAAUUUGUCACUUCUCCUUCAAGUAAUUUAUUUAUUUACCAUAUUAGCAUUGUUUCAAAAAUUUACAUUGAAACUUAGCAUUAUUUAAUUAGAAAAUUGCUCUUAGUAUCUUAUAUUUUAUUCUAUUUUACACCUCGUUUUUAUCAUUUCAAAAAUUAUAUUGAACAUCUUCAACUUUACAAGUUCAUGAUACUUUACAUGCAUACAAAAAAAAAUAAACAAAAAAUAUUAGGUUAUUUAUAGAUUUACCAUUAUAUUCAAUUUAAUGAUUAAAAAACCCUUAUUACUUUAAAAGAAUGAAAUUGCAAGUAAAAAAACUCUUCUUUUCUUUGACAAAAAUGAAGCCCUAGUCACUAGCUUGAAUUCAAUUUCAUAAUCUUAUACUCAAGAAGCCCGAGUAAUUAAAUAAUCUCCCUAAACUCAACAAUCCUGAAUACCUAAUUCUAAUCUUAUUAUGCAUCAUCUUCAAAACCAAUUCUACAUUGUCUAGAAUUUCCUUACCCUUGUUAACAAUCCCAUGCCUCUUUUAUAUGGCCUACUUUAUACAACACAUUAAGCAUAUGCUUAAAACCUAUCUUAAUAAUUUCAUCAAUCGUGGCCCAACAUUAUUGCAAUUAAGCUUUGCUAAGCUAUUGGUUUAACAAAAGAAGAAAUAAGAUAAAUAAAGAAGAAGAUAAUAGAAGAGAAAACAAAGACUAAAAGAAAUGUAAGUUUUGCAUAAACCGUUAAAACUAGGAGUAUAAAAGUCACACAAUAUGACAUUAUAAUUAGCUACAAUUACUAGUAAUAUUAAAGACUUAGCAAUAUAAAUUUUUACUUCCUUAAUAACCUGCUUAUUAAUGAAGUUAUAUAUAUUUCCACUAUUAAACAAAAUAAUUAACUAUUUUUAUUGAUAGCUUCCUCUAAUUAUAAUAGCGUUAUGGGUAUAAUUGUCAAUUAAGAAAUUUAGUGACAUGCUACAUUCUUCAAUUUCAUUAUUCUCUUUUAUAUUUUCAAUGUUAUUUUCUACUUAAGCAUCCAGAAAUUCUUCACAUUCAUCCUCAUUACCUUCAAUCAUAUGUAAUUAUUUAGUAGUACACUAAUGUCCAUGUAUAAAUUUAACUAAUACAAAGUCUUUCAAAACAUUUUUGUUUUGUUUAUGUUGACCUUUAUUUUUGUAUUGGUUAACAUGUUUAAUUGGAAAAUUACAAGUUGGUCUUCCUAUAUUAAUUGCAGCACUAAUUCUUAGCACAAACUUAUUUUUCCUUGCUAAAACAUUGUUUGAUUUCUUUUGCUAUUUGGCUUGUUCAGGAAGCUGUCAUCAACUCUAUUGGUUUGAGUAUCUUCAAUAUUGGUUUAAUAUUUUCUUUCAAUCCACUAACAAAACUAGAAAUGUAGUAGAAUUUAAGAAAUGAAGAGUUCAAUACAUGCAUUAGAGAUUUUAGUUCCUCAAAUUUCUCUACAUAUUUAUACACGCUACCUUCUUGCACUAACUCAUUCAAUUCUUAUACUAUAUCAUCUCUACUACCAAGUCUAUUGCACACAGCUCUUGAAAAUUCAUCCUAGUUUAUCGUGCGUUUAAUAUUUCAUAUUUAACCUUCAAACCAAAUCCAUGUCUUCCUUUUUAAGUAAAGAGAUGUUAUCUCAACUCACUGUUGUAUAGAAAUUAAGUUGUUCUCAAAGAAUUUUCUACAUUUCCUCAACUAACCCUUAGAUUAUCUCCCCAAAAUAAUGUUAGAUUAAUCCUUGGAAAACAUGGAUUAUACUUUAUCUUGUUAUGCUGUUGAUUAUUAAUUUAAUCUCCCAUUACAUUGUUCUUGAUCUCUUGUAACACUCUUUCUUGAUUGUUGUGGGUACUAAUUUCUUUUUCCAUUGUUGGAGUAUUCAAGAUUCAUUUAGAAUUGGCUCUAAUUUCUUUUCCUACCAUUUGAGUAGAAAUAAAUGGUUGGAAUUGAUUUGAUAAUGCUUUAAUUUAUAAACUAAUCUGAUUGACUCUUUUAUUUUGCUCCACAUAUUGUUCUUUCCAUUUGCUUUGUUGAUCAGCUAAUGAUUCUUGAAAUUCUUGGUGAAGGCCUUGCAAUCUUUCCUCAAAUGUCCUACAAUGUUCUUUAACAAUCUUCAUCGUAUUAUUUGCUACCAUUUUGAGUUAAGAUAUUUAUUUUAUGCCUAAGUUAGGCUCUAAUACUAAUUGUUAAGCUGCUGGCUAAUAAGGAAAGAAAUGAGAGAAAUAGAGAAGAAGAUAACAUAAGAGAGAACAAGAAGAAGAGAAAUGCAUUGUUUUAUUAUUACUUAUUCCUCACGAAAUGCAUGUUACAACUUUUAGACACUGUAAAUCUCUAACUAACUUGACUUCCAACUAAUCUCAACCGACUAACUAAUUUAGCUUAACUACUUUAACGACAUGAAUCACGUGUUGAUUUUGCUCUUCAAUUCUUCAAUAGUGGUAAUAACAAAUGUUACUGCUAUUGUUACAAUAACUUUUUCUACUAUUGUUAUUGUUUUUUCCUUAUUUCCAUCAUAUGUAACUUCUGAUUGUAACAUGUGUAGAAUAUGUAAAAAUAUAACAAAAUCACACCUAUAUUGUGGAAACUUAUGUAAAUUAUUAACUGGAAAACUUAUAGAAAUAAUUCCAACAAAAAAAGAAUAAUUCAAAUUCGUCUCAUUUCUAACAACCAUAUGGACAUUAGGAGUGUGAAUGUCAACAUUAUCUUUGGUACAUCCAUGUCUUGUCCAUAUAUUGGUGGUGGUGUUGCCUAUAUGAAUGUUUCCCACCUUAAUUGGCCUCUUGCUGCCAUUAAAUCUCUCUUUAUGACAACAGGUCAAAAACCUAUUGUCUUUGUAUUAACAUUUUUUUUAAUGAAAAAGACAUUGAUAGAACUAUUAAGACUUCAAUUUGAUCAAUUUUUCUAGCCCAUUGACCUUUAAUUUGGUCAUUUUUGUAGCCUCUUGAACCCAGAGAAACAUGUUGAUCUUGAUUUUUCUUAUAGAUCUUGUCAUAUCAAUCCAGAGCAUGCAUUAAAUUCUAGGCUUGUUUACAAUGCUUCCAAAGCAGAUUAUAUUUACAAAUAGGUUGUGAAUGGUUCGAGGAUGUGUAGUGAGGGAGAGAAAAGGUCUGGUCGGUGAUGGAGAGAAUGAAGGAGAAAAGAGUGGGGGAGUUUGGUUCUGUAGUUUAGAUAAUAAGAGAGAGAGGGGAUUUUGUUGGUGAUAGAAAGAAUAGAUGAGAAGGGGAUGACUAAUGGUUUGUGAUGGUAUUCUUAGAAAUAAGAGAAAAAAUAAAUUAAAUUUUAAUAGAUGAAGUUUUUGUUUUUUUGAAUGGUAAAUUUUAGUUGUUUAUUUUUAUAUUAUAUAUGAGGAUAAAUUCUAAAUUUUAAAAUUGAGUUGACCCAUAAUAUUAAGUGUAAUUUUUAAAAGAAUAGAAAUAAAGUAAAAAAAAACUAAACUAUAAAACUAAUAACAAUAAAGAGAGAAAAAAAAUAGUGGAUAGUUUAAGGUUGUGUUUGGUUCAAUUAAAGUGUUAACACGCGCGUGUAGUCGAACAAAGUCACAAACAUACCAAACAAACAAAAGACAGAAAGAAAGGAAAGCCCAAGCUGAAAAGCCUACUCAUUGGGGUUCCAGUUACCCAAGAAAUUUGGCCCAGAAUGUACGGACACAACUGCGGCCUGAGAUUUUUUCAUUCAACAAGGCAGAAGGCAAGGGUGCGAGUGUUACUCAGUUGCUGCUGCAGUUUCUUCAAUGGCUUCUCUUUUUAACAAAUUUCAAGAGGUAAUUUCUAUCUUUCUUUCUCUCCAUUGGCAUAACUUAAUCUGUUUCUCUCAAUGAUUGUCUGGUUAGAUAUUGGGUAGAUUCAGGGUCAUGUUUAUUGACAAGGAUGGAGGUAAAGUUUUAGAUUUUGAAUAAUCAAGACAUUUUAGAAUAACCCAUUUUGGAAAUGUAUAAAAAAAACUGUGUGAAUUGAGAUAAAGAAUAUGGGUUUUGUUUGUUAUGGAACAUUUAGUCAAUGAAUGCGUAGUACAUCUGUAAAGAUGAUAAGAAAUGAUUGAAUUGAAGAAAGUUAGGAUUCAAGUAGAGGGGUUGUCAAUUGACAUUUGAGGUUGUCGGUCUUUAGUUAGUGGGACUAAAAAUGGAGUGUCAUGGAAUUGCUCUGUGCUUUGUUUUGCCAAAGGAGUUACUGCACGGGUUCAAUGUUGAUACAACAAGUAAAGGUUGUUUCGUUUUGUGUUUUUGUUACAGUUUGUGAAAACUCUAGCCAAAAGUCCCACAUUUGCUAGAAAUCCAAGGGAGUUUCAAUUUGAAACGGACAUGAAUCGUCUCUUUCUUUUUACCAGGUUAGUGUGUUUCUUUAUUUUCCAAGUUGUGAUUGGGUGUAUCUUGCUACCUUAGUGUAGAUUUUGCAGGCCUGAACAAGGGUUCUUUCAAUAUAUUGUUGGCAUCAGAUUGGCUCCUGAAAUCUGUGCUAGAGACUAUCUGAUUUACCUUUUUCCUUUUUUUUUUUUAAAUAUUUAAGUCUUUGUUUUCAAGAAGUAAUAUUAUCAGAAAGUCUCAAAAUUCAUAAUGGAAGGUGAAGUUCAAAAAAUUCAAAAUUAGUGCAUCUCCUUGCUUUUUCUUACUCUCAGGUUUCAUAAUUGUUUUGAUCUUAUUCUCAAAUUUGAUAGUUGUUGGACUUUCUUUCUUUGAAAUGUUGGAGAAGUUUUCUGCUGAAUUUUAUGUUUGAGAUUUCCUUGCUUUUUCUUACUCUCAGGUUUCAUAUGCUUUGAUCCUCUUUUUGUAUCGAAUCGCUGCAUUCUCAAGACCAUGUAGCUUUAUGUUUACUAAGUGCGACCAACAUCACAUAUUAUAUCUAAACCCGGAAUUGCUUGUUCUUUUGAGUACCUUGAGUUGUUAAUGAAGUUAAAUUUUCAGCUACAAUCGUUUGGGGAAAAAUGCUGAGGAGGCAGAUGCGGAGGAGAUCAUUGAAAUGGCCAAUAAAGCUUCUGUUGCUGAUCAGCAGAAACAGGUUCAAGAAAAUAUCCACUUUCAAAUUACAAACUUCUGCUCAGCUAUGAAUGAAAUUCUUCUUCCUGAUUUGGAAAAAAGAAGCAAGAAGGAUGAAGCUCCUGCACAAUCAAAUGCUGCUCCUCGGCGUAGUGGCCUUAGUUUUGCUGUUGGCAAGAGUGGUCCACCUACUGACCGUCCUGGUGAGUUCAUGUGAGCAAUCCCACUUGUUAAUUUACAGAUAGUCCUCUCCAGAGUUAAUUUAUGGAAUAAUAGCAACCUUAUAUCUUAAAUUAUUCAGAUGAUAUUACAUUGUGCCUGUCACUUGGUCGCUAAUUUCCUGUUUCUGGCUCGGUGCUCCAGACAACUGUUUUCUCCUGUUUAUUUAUGCCGUUUUAUUUUCUCUUUUAUCAUAUUAAUGGUGUGGUUCUGAGAUGAUUUCAAUAAUAGAAAGCAAAAAGUUUUCAUCCAGUAAAAGCAAGUGACAAGUUAUGUAAUGCUGAUUCCUAAAAGAGUGAUUCAGUGACAUGAACAGAAUGGGGCAAAUUGAGGGAUAAUAAUAUUAUCAGAAGCACGAACGCUUAUUUAUAACUAAACUUCUAUCCUUAAAUUUUGAUUAAUGAUGUUUUUCAGAACAGCUAUACCUGAGACGAAGCAGUUAAGUCGUAGCGAAGUAUCACAGAGUUUAAGGGAUGAAAUUGGUUACACACUUGAUCUCAAGCCAUCUCUGAUACCCCACAAGGAAGCUGGAGAAGGUUUGUUUUUAAGUGGUGAGGCUGAUGUGGGCACUGUGAUUGCCAUAUACCCUGGUGUCAUAUACAGCCCUGCUUAUUAUCGGUUUAUCCCAGGGUACCCUAGAGUUGAUGCCCAGAACCCAUAUUUGAUCACUAGAUAUGAUGGGACUGUGAUCAAUGCCCUGCCUUGGGGUUCUGGGGGUGAAAGUCGCGAAGUGUGGGAUGGCUUAACUGUGCCAGAAAUCAGGUCUAAUGUGCAAAGUGUUGAGAAAGGUCAAGACCGGGUCUGGAGAAUGCUGAGCAAACCUUUGGAAGGUACACGAGUUGGUUCUAUUGGUGAUGUCUUGGAGCGGAGAAACCCGUUAGCAUUGGCUCAUUUUGCUAACCACCCAGCGAAGGGUAUGGAUCCAAAUGUUAUGAUUUGCCCCUAUGACUUCCCACUGACUGAGAAGGAUAUGAGGACCUUUAUACCAAACGUAUCUUUUGGAAAUCAUGAAGAAGUGAAUAUGAGAAGAUUUGGCAGUUUUUGGUUCAAAUCUAGUGCCAAAAAUAGCGUAUCUGAUGUUCCUGUUCUCAAGACUCUGGUUUUAGUUGCCACUAGGGCGCUUUGUAAUGAAGAGGUGCUCCUGAACUACAGGUUGAGCAACACAAAACGCCGACCAGCAUGGUAUACUCCGGUGGAUGAAGAGGAAGACCGGAGGAGAUGGAGCUAAUGAGUCGUUAUUGAAAGUGGGUUGCAACCUGGACUUUGUCCUUCUUAAAGGAUGCUUAUGUCAGUGUAGGAAUUGGCCCUACAGUUGGUGUACUUGCUUGCGAGAAUUGUUAAAAACCUCUGAAAACCUUUAUUGUUGAAUCUUGAUGUGUUUGGAUUAUAGAAUAGGAUUAAAGUGCUCAAUAGCUUCGUGAUUAAGCCAGGCAUAGCACAUUGUUUUCGGAGUGACAAGUUUUGAGUUUAUGCUUUGCUUUGUCUUUGAAUUCUCGAGUUUUGUUAUAACCAAAAUAGAUUCCAUAUGAAUUUUAUUAAUAUAUGUGUCUAAGCUAUUUUAUUUAUAUUUAAUUAAUUUUACAAGUCUAAAAUUAACAUCAUAAAAAUAUUUAAUAAUCUUAAAAUUUAUAAAUUCAAAUUAAUAAACUAAACAAUUGAACUGUAGGAGCUUAUUGGAUAUGGUUGUCAUGGCUUAUGUGGACAGUACUACUCCUGCGAUGCUAUCUUUGCUAGUAUUCAAGGAUCAACCAAGUGGACGGUGGAUAAUCACUCUAUAAAUAUGGAUCCAUGUGAAACUUCAGCAGUUAUAAAACGUGAUGAUAUUGUCAUGGUCCACAAGUGACAACGUCUUCGAGGACAUCACUUGGGGACCGCCGCUGAAUUGCAUUAUUGAGUCGUUAUCAAUUUGUAGAAACAAAUAGAAACAAACAAACAAACAAACAAAUAAAUAGAGUCUCUAGCUACAUGCAACGUUUAUCAUGCAUUCAACAUCGGAAACAUACUUUACGAGUGAAUUACAAGCUUAUUUAGCAAUGAUGGUACUGUUAAUUCAUCAUGCGAUUCAAUACAUUCACACACACACCCUAAUGUUGUACAUUUGAGGUAUGAUUCAAUUCACAUGCACUGCACUUACUAGUAUUUUUACAAGUUAUUUGACUCACGCAGGAUGAAUAAUUUUUUUUUUUAAUUAAAAAAGAAUAUACAUGCUUGUAGGAAUCCUACGGGUUUUAUGAUAGUAAAUACAAAUAAUUAAAGUUAAAAGGAUAAAAUUAAAAAUUAAAAUAUUUAAUUAAAAAAACAAAAAAAAACCUAGAAUAUUGAUCUUAUCCAACCAAACUCAUGAUCCGUGUCAUGAAUCUCGUUGAAUUUAACAAUUUUUUAAUCUUUUUAAUUAUUUUUUAUUUAAUUAUACGUCAACUAGGUGAAUAAUAUAUAUUUUUUUCAUAUUAAACACAAACUUGUUUUUUUUUUUUUUUUUAAAUAAGGGUGAUAUGUGGGGCUAAAAUAAAAAAUAACUGAUUUUUUUAAAUAUUGAUUACAAAAGGAAGGUUUUUUUUUUUAAUUAAGUCAAAUAAGAAAGACCUUAAAAAAUGAUUAAUUUUUUUUUAAUUUUAAAGGUUUAAAAAUACAUGAAAUUAAGAAAUUAUAAAAGGGCCAUACACUAAAUUAAAUAGUAUUUUAUGAGUUACUUUUCAUGGCAGAUGACAUGUCGUUCAUGUCUUCCCAGACUCCGGCUACUAUAAUAACAUUAAAAUUAGGAAAGGUGUUUUUUUCAUAAAAUUUAUUUUUGUCCUAAAACAUUUAGAAAACACCUUAGACAUCUUGAUCAACUCUUUAAUUACCUUAAAAAAAAAUCAAUUCAAAAUAAAAAAUUUUAUCAGGCUUAUGUAUGUUUUUAAGGUAAUUUAAAGGUAAAAAAACAUUUAAGUUAAACUAUUUUCACCAAAUAAAAUUUAUUGGUACCAAGACCAAUUAUUUUGGUGGCAAGAUUCGCUAUUAACAAUGAUUUUUUUUUUCUCUAUCACUUGAAUGCGAGAAAUUUCUCUUUUAUUUUUCAAACCUCUUGAAAUAUUCGAGGCAUAACUUAAACGAGAUAAUGACUUUGGUCCAGAAGUGAUAGUGAUUGGAGAACACUUGAACGUGGGCUGCAGAAUUGCAUUAUUGAGUUGAGUGCCUUUAUCAAUUUGUCGAGCGUAAAAAAUCAUCACACCGCUAUAUAUAUAGUCUCUGCAUGCAACCUCUAUCAUGCAUUCAAGAGCAAAAACUUACUCUGCAAGUGAGUAAAUUAAAAGCUUAGCGGUUGUGUGCGAGUGCGACGGAGAGAUGGAUAGCAAGAAAGUGAGUUUGUUUCUGAUGGUGUCCUUACUCUUCAUGGCGACUAUUUCUCCUUGCGCUUUCUCUAUGAGGGAAAUCCACUCACCUUUGAUGGCGUUGAUGAGAUCGCUGCUGGUAACACCAAGAACAUUCCACUCUCAAAUAUUGUGAUGAUGCCUAAAUCUGCUAGGUACAUCUCCAUGCUUAAUCGGCGACGUCGGUUGUUGCAGCGGGAUAUGCGCUCUUAGGUACCCAGGAAUAUGCGUUUGAAAAUUUGUAUCAGUAAAAACAACACCAUGAUCUAGUGGAAUUGAAGAAGCUCGCUAUAAAUGAAGAUGGUGGUGCGUGAAGGCUGGAAUAAGACUAAGAAAUAAAACAUUAGCUGGGAUAUAAUUAUUAUAUCCAUGCUUGUUUAUCUUCUUCUGUGUGCUCUUUUUUUACCCUCCCUUUGUUGCAGGUGUGAUUUCGUUUGUGGUAUGUUAAGUUUUUUUUAAUAAAUUAAAAAAAGAAUAAUCGUAUGAUCAUUAAAUAUAUUUUCUUAAUUAUUAAAACCGUUAGCUGUUUCUAUGAAUGAAUUUGAAAUAUAUUCCCAAGAAGGGCACUAAUUAAUAGACAGUGCAGCGCACAGUUCAAGAAUAAUGUAAAGAAUGUAUAUUCUACAAAUGAGAUUAUUUAUAUAUUGAGAUUAUAUAAAUAAUGUAAAGAAUGUCUUGCAACCACUCUCCGAAAAAAAACUGAAUAAUAUAAAUUAUAUUUUAUAUUUAUAUAAUAGUUUAAAUUUUUGGCUGAGAUGAUUUUUUGACUUGGUAUUAGAGCUUUGAUGAGCGAUACGAGUUCGAAUCUCACCAUCACUAUUUAUUUGAUAAAAAUUAAAUAUAAGAUAAUGUAAGUUUGUGCAAGUUUCAAGUUCAAAAAACUUUUACUUAAAAAAAUAUGUUUUGCGUGGCCAGGGCGGAGAGCUGACAACAAAUCUAGUAUUUUCUAUGGUAUUAUGCAAUCUUAUGGGUAGGACUUGUUAAGUUCAAAUCUUGUGGAUAUUAUUGAAGAAAUUUGUUCAUUUAAAUGCACAAAGCUUGUAAAGGAGGGCAUGCUAAUCAAAUCAUCCGAGAAAGGGUUUUGUUUAACAUUAAAAGUGUGGCUACGGGUACAUGCAUAUCCGAGAAAAGACAUCAAUAAUUAGGAAUGGAUGUUCAGAUGUGAUCCAGUUAAAAUCCAAUUCCAGUGCAUUAAUUUUUCUACAUUAACAUGGAUAUUUAGAUUAUUUUACAUUUAACUUAAUUAACUCUGUAAAUUUUAAAGUUAAUUACCAUGUAAAUUUCUAAUGAUUUUAAGAUUUUUGAAAUUUGAACCGGUAAUUUCUUGAAAGUAAAAUCCAAAACCUGUUAACUCUAUCUUUUAAAAUUAUUCCCCAUGCAUUAUUAUUAAAAUGCUUGUCAGCUUUGAUCUUGAGAUUUACUCCCUCCUUUUCUUCUAAUGUAAGUGGCAAAAAAGCAAAAUUUUAUCGACCGACGGAAAUCAAUAUAUAAGCGAAUGUGCUCUCACUCUACUUAAUUUAAUUCUUGUAGAACUUGUAUGUACAUUCACUAAUCUCAAUAUAUACACACACACUGAAUUGGAAGAGUGAAUUUAAUUUUGAUGUAUGAAUGAUGGCAUGAAGUUUUUGAACUUAAGGGGAGAGAAAAGGGAUCGGAGAAAGAGAGAAGUGGUGUGCUAUUUCAACACUGAGAAUUAAUCUCAUAUGGCAGUGAGGAUAGUUAUAACAUCAUGGAAUCAUGUCCUUUGAAAUCUUGCGGAUGCAGGGGUUGAAUUAAUUGGAACGAUUAGGGCCAAGAACACCAUUUGUUUGAUCCGACACAGGGGCAACAAAACAACCAUUGUUCUAUAAUGAAACUUGUCCUCAAAAUAUAUGAAAAAAAAGAAAAGAAAAGGAGAUCUAGAGUUGAAGUCUGGAGGCAAUUUGUUGGGAUUAGCAUGGUUAUUAAACUUGUUCUGGUCAGUGGGUUUAUCCAAGAUUUUUUUGGUAUUUAUAAAAUAGAAAGUUAAAAAAUUAAAAUUAAAUUUAAAAAGUACUUAAGUUUUUAAGAAUAAAAAAUUAUAAGUAAAAUGAGCUUUAAAUUUAAAUUCACACGCAUACCGACCUGGCUCGUGCUUGUGCUCAUGUUUAGGAUUUAGGCAAGGCCUACGCCUGGUUUGUGCUUGGAUUUAUAGUAAAUUAAGUAUUUUUCAUGUUUAGAAUAUUUUUGUGAAAAAUAAAGUGUUUUUACUCGCUAGUUGAAAAAGCGAAGAGCAGCCAAAAUUGACAACCAAAAUUGGGUCAUGUCAAGUGGUACAUUAUUUAUACUGUGGUACAAAAGAAAGGCACCUGAUUCCUUUUGUUACAAGACACGGCCAAGUUAUUAAUUUGUAUAUUUGGUAUGUGAACUUAAGUUUCCGUUUUGUGUUUUUAGUUUAAUUUUAUUUUUUAAUAUUAAAUUUAUUUAAAAAUUAUAUUUAUUAUUAUUUAUCAUUUUAUUUUUAUUAGAUUAUCAGAGUUUUAUGACUUAGAUUAUGUUAACUCAAGUUAACAUAAAUCAAUCUAAUAUGUUAUCGUUUUAAUAUUUUUUAAAAAAUAUUACCUUGAUUUUUUUAAAAUCAUAUAUUUUUAUCAAUUGUAAUUGUUCAUGUUGUCUUUGAUUUUUUCAAGUCAACCAGAUCUCAUCAAUUUAAUUUUUAUUUAGUUAAUUUUUUUAAAAAACAUAUUAACAUCAUUUAAAUAUUUUUUCAUGUAAAAAAAACUUACAAGCCCUUGGUGGAAGUUUGCAUAGAUAGGUUGAAACUAAUGAAACAUGUGUUAAUCGUUUUCAAUUUAAAAUUCAAGUUAUUUAUAUUUUAAUAUUUUUAUUGAAAUAAUUCAAAGUUGUAAGUGUUUAUUUUUUUUUGAGUUUUGGAUACAUGUUCAAUGUCACUUUAAAGGAACUAGCAUAUUGUUCCGUGUCCUGCUGGUUCUUAAUUAAUGGGUCCUGCUCCCAGCAGGUUCAUCGCUAUUCGUUCUUGCUGGACAACUGCACCCAAAAUUGAUGGUCCUGCUUCUAGCAGACCUCAGAGUUGGGCAGCAGAAUCCAAAGCUGAUGGGCAGUAUUGGGCAACAUAACUCAUCACUGACGGGUUUUGCUGCCAUGCAGAGCUCAAUCGCGUUCAUUUUGAUUCUUUAUCCUUCCAUUCUUUUCUCUUUUAAUAAUUUUAACUAUAUUGGCAUUUAAUUAGAUUUUUAAAGAGAAAAAUUAAAUAAAAAAAGGGUAAAAAAACUCAUGUUCACAAUAUCCAUGAGUACGUGUAUAUAUUGCGUGAAGGAAUAAUAUUCCCCCCACAUCUAUUGUUAAUAUCUCUCCCUUGCACAAAAAGAGGAGUAGCAUAGUGAAUUUAUGGAGGCAGCUAGGUCGGUGUACACACUAGGGUCUAUAGUUUUCUGUAUAACUAGAUAAGUUGCAAUGAAACCUCUUGAAAUAUUCGAGGCAUAACUUAAACGAGAUAACGACUUUGGUCCAGAAGUGAUAGUGAUUGGAGAACACUUAAACGAGAUAAUGACUUUGGUCCAGGAGUGAUAGUGAUUGGAGAACACUUAAACGUGGGCUGCAGAAUUGCAUUAUUGAGUUGAGUGCCUUUAUCAAUUUGUCGAGCGUAAAAAGCAUCACACCGCUAUAUAAUAUAGUCUCUGCAUGCAACCUCUAUCAUGCAUUCAAGAGCAAAAACUUACUCUGCAAGUGAGUAAAUUAAAAGCUUAGCGGUUGUGUGCGAGUGCGAGGGAGAGAUGGAUAGCAAGAAAGUGAGUUUGGUUCUGAUAGUGUCCUUCCUCUUCACGGCGACUAUUUCUCGUUGCGCUUUCUCUACGAGGGAAAUCCCACUCACCUCUGAUGGCGUUGUUGAGAUCGCUGCUGGUAACACCAAGAACAUUCCACUCUCAAAUAUUGUGAAGAUGCCUAAAUCUGCAGACAAGUGCUCCCUCCAGGUACAUCUCCAUGCAUAAUCGGCGACGUCGGUUGUUGCAGCGGGCUUUGCUAUUAUAGUUACCAGGAAUAUGCGUUUGAAAAUUUGUAUCAGUAAAACACCAUGAUCUAGUGGAAUUGAAGAAGCUCGCUAUAAAUGAAGAUGGUACUGGUGCGUGAAGGCUGGAAUAAGACUAGAAUAAAACAUUAGCUGGGAUAUAAUUUUUAUAUCCAUGCUUGUGUAUUCUUCUUCUGUGUGCUCUUUUUUACCUCCCUUUGUUGCCGGUGUGAUUUCGUUUGUGGUAUGUUAAGUGUUUUUAAUAAAUUAAAAAAAAGAAUAAUCGUUAGCUGUUUCUAUGAAUGAAUUUGAAAUAUAUUCCCAAGAAGGGCACUAAUUAACAGACAGUGCAGCGCACAGUUCAUGAAUUAUGUAAAGAAUGU